rnacentral:lncRNA from 1 species
GAAUCCAUAGUCUAGUAGUGGUGGGGGGGAGGAGGAGAUGCAUAUAUGUAGUGGGGUGGUGGCGGCUUGUGGACCGGGGGUGGUGGUGGAGACUUGUACUUGUAAACUGGAGGAGGUGGUGGUAGAGACUUGUACUUAUAUGGCUUCUUUGGUGGUGAUGAAGGUGGAUACUUGUGCACUGGUGGUGGUGGAGGUGGAGACUUAUAUUUGUAUACUGGAGGGGGUGGUGGAGGAGACUUGUAUUUGUAUGGGGGUGGUGGAGGAGAAUAGACUGGUGGUGGGGGAGAUUUGUACUUGUAAACUGGUGGAGGAGGUGGUGGGGACUUGUACUUGUAGGGUUUCUUGGGUGGUGGAGGAGACUUAUACUUGUAAACUGGAGUAGGAGGUGGUGGAGACUUGUACUUGUAAGGCUUCUUAGGUGGUGGUGGGGAAUACACUGGAGGAGGAGGUGGGGUGACUUAUACUUGUAAACUGGAGUAGGAGGUGGUGGAGACUUGUACUUGUAGGGUUUCUUAGGUGGUGGUGGAGAAUACACUGGUGGAGGGGGUGGAGGAGACUUGUAUUUAUAAACUGGUGGAGGAGGUGGUGGAGACUGGUACUUGUAAGGCUUCUUGUGAGGUGGUGGAGAAUAAACUGGUGGAGGAGGUGGAGGGGAUUUGUACUUGUAAACUGGAGGUGGUGGCGGUGGAGACUUAUACUUAUAAGGUGGUGGAGGUGGAGGUGGAGAGUACACUGGAGGAGGAGGAGGUGGUGAUUUGUAUUUGUAUGGUGGUGGAGGAAAAGACCCACAAUAUAUAUUUAACAUUAUCAAUGCGGACUUUAAGUUCUGAAGAUGCUAGUAUUCCUACCCAAGAUAUAAGUCAAGUCCUUCGCUUUGCUUGAGUCGAUCUUAACGUGUGUGACUUUUUAGGUUCAUUAUUAAUUAGUAAUAGGAAUUUAAUAUUAAAUUCUUUAAUAUUAAUCAAACCAAUUUAAUCAAUUAAGGGAAUAAUUAAAUAAUUGUCCUUCAAUUGCUUCCAUAAAUUAUAAAUGAUGUCUAGCAACAUAUUAUAACUACCUAAUUAAUAAUAAAGGCAUUGAUCAUCCAUGAACCCAUUAUUUAUGAUUACCAUGUAAUUAAUCCUUCUACUGAACAAUAUCCCGAUCAAGUGAGGAUCAUGGAAUAGAUAAAUCCACUAACUUGAUUCCAUGACCAAAUCCAUGAUACAUCUCAACUAAAUAUGAUUAAUACGAAAACCCUUUUUUCCAUUAAUCAUAAUUACCUCGGCCAAGGAUUUCCUAGUUAAGAUGUUGCCAUAUCAUAUAGGACAUUUUCCUUGUUUACUCAAGGUAAUGGAUUCCUUGUUGAUGAAUACCUGCCUCCAUGCAUAUGUAACUAGAGCCACUAUCUGCAAGUACCCAUUCUUAUCAUUAACAAAUACCUAUAGCAUAAGCAAAUUCCAAUCACAUAUUCAUGAGACGACUUUGUCAUCUCAAAUCUAAGGAUUAGUUACACCAUCACAACUUAAUAAUAAAUCAAUGGCUUAAGUAAAUUAUCCAUGUGAUUUAUUAUUUCUGCAAGUCAUGUUCAGUCCACUUAUUUCACAAGUGACCCAUUAUAAUUAACUUAGUAACUCAUACUAAAUGGCAUGAGACUCAUCAUUCUCUAUAUAUAUUAGUAUCUCAUACUAAUCAUAGGGUCAAACACAUUAUGUUGGUCUUCUAGAUUAAAGACGUCUAAUAUUUAAUCCUACGACCAAGAACUAUUAUAUAAUAUUCUAAAGAUCAUUUGUCGUUCAUAUUCUCAACUCUUAAGAAUUGAGUCUUUAAUAAAUAUUAUUGGACUCAUUUAAUAAUUAUAUUACUACAAAAUGAAUGAAAGACAACUACCAUAAAUAAAAAAAUAUUCAUUACAUAAUAAUAUCACAAUGUAUGAACCAAAAAGUAAAAAGUCCAAUUGGCUUUUAGGACAUACAUCUAACAACACCAACCUAUUGUAUGAGAUGAACACUAUUAGAAAGCCUUUGAUAAAAUGAAGGAGUAUCUAAUGAAGCUCAUUGAACCACUCAUUAGCUCCGUAGAAACUGCGGCGAAUCGGGUCGAUACAGUAUUAGUUUGAAACAUACAAAAGCAGGUUUAAGUACACAUAUACAUGCAUUGAAGUCAAAAAUCAUGUACGAAUGCUAUUUCCUUCAAGUUUUUAAGGAAAUCGGUGCACAAGAGGUCAUUUCACCUAGUGCUAAUCAGUUGUUCAUCUAAGGCAACCCGAUUGUUCUUCGAUUUUGCAUAAUUUUUGGCAUUUUAUGUGUUGUUUAAGUGUAUAAAUGACAGAUACACAAGAAUAGCAAGAAAAAGAUACCUCAUCAACGGUCGAAAAAAACCUAAUGUGUGCUCAAUUUGGCCAAAAGGAGGAUUUUUUCCCUUUUCACCAACCCUAAGUCAUUUUGAUACAAAUCGGUGGCGAGAACUCCCGAUUUGGUGCAGCUGGGGGUGCAGCUUACUGAUUUAGAAGAACUCGCUAUUUCAAGAAAAAAUUGGAUAGAUUUAGUUAAUAAUCGAGAGAGAAAUCAAAGAAAGAUAGUAGAAGGAGUUAGAAGGAAAAUAAGUGAAAUGACAGAAUAGAGAGAAAAGGAUAGAUAUAAAAAAGGAAAACGGUCAUUUUGGUCCCUAAUUGAUAAAUUUUAUUUUGGCCCUUAGUUGAAAAUUACUAAUUUAGUCCCCGUAGGAUAAAAAAAAUCGAAUUACAUCCCGAAGCAGAAAUUAUGAAAGAAAGUAAAGCUUAUACUAGUUCAGCACCCGAAAGUGGGUAAUUUACCAAGUCACAACUCGAAGUGCAAAUCACAAAUUUUUUCCUUUCGGAAGCAAAAGGCAACCAAGAAAAUUCCAGACAAUCAAUAGUGUUAGUGCCUAUCACCUAGAAAUUUGGGCACAACGGGUUGAUGCUUCUUCAAAAGAUUAAAGAUAGGAUCACAAACCAUUGUGAGCUUGGAAAUAAAUCUGCUAAUAUAUUGCAAAUGUUCUAGAAAACCUCUGACUUCUUUCUUCGUCUUCGACGCUGGGAUCUGUUGAAUAGCCUUGACCUUGUCCAAAUCGAUCUCUAUGCCUCGUAGAUAGACUAUAUGCCCUAACAGCUUCCUUGAUGUUACUUCGAAGACACUCUUCUUCAAGUUGAGUCACAGCUUAUACAUUGCCACUCAUCCUAAAAACUUAUUGAGAGCCUAAAAGUGCCCUUCCCUUGUUUCAGACUUUACCAUCAUGUCAUCCACAUACACCUCUACCUCCUUGUGCAUCAUGUCAUAAAACAAGUGUUGGGAAUUGAAAUUAAAACAUAUGGAAAGGUGCGAUAAAAGCAAUUUAAUUUUUUUUUAAUUCCCACCAAGGAUCUCAUUCAUUUAGAUAGUCAUAACACACAAAACAAGCAAAAGAUGGAGAAGGCUUAUAAAGGAUGCGUGCCGCUGAUAGAUUAUAAAUAGUUAUACUUAUUGUGUUUAAUACCCUUAUAUUUUGAUUGGAUAUUGUGCUUAAUUGUGGAAAUUAUGUUUGUUCUGAUCUAGGUGGUGAAAUAUCAAGGAUUGAGUGAAAUUCAGCCUAAAGAAAUGUUUUAAAGCAUCAUUUGUCAAAACCAAGUCUUUUGGAGGAAGAGGGAAAAUUUAUGCAAAAGGUCAUUUUCAAUAGGGCGUGACCACGCCCAACAAUCUGUGAGCUGUUAGAAUCUGUUGAAGAGAAUUUCAAAUUUUUAGUUAAAUUCAUGGUGGACCCACUUUUAUGUUAUUUCCUUUAUUUUUGGAAGUGCUAGCUAAGGAAAGUUGACUCCCAUACUAUUUAGGAUUUUAUUUGUUUAGAUUAUCCUUUAUCUUAUCCUUCCUUAUAGGAGUAAGAUUAUAUAGGAAGUUUGUUUCCUUUUAGAUAAGGAUUAUCUUAUUAGGGUUUAGGUUUGACUUCCUAUAUAAGGAGGCUAGUUCUACAAAGAGGGAAUGAUUGAGAGCUUUGAUAUUUUUAUUAUUUUUCUUCUUCUACAACUCUUGUGAAUUUUUACUCCACCAUGUGUGGCUAAGCUUUUAGUUUUUGAUUCAAGAGUGAAUAAAUUUCAAUUGUGAUUUUGUAAGGCUUUGUGCUCAACAGAAUUCUUCUUUAAUUCAAGUAUUCUUUAUUUCUUAUUUUUAUUGUUUAUGAAUUUUUGAUAUUGAUUGAACUGAUGACUCAAUUUCAUAUUGAUUUUUCUAUUACUAACCUUGAGUAUGUGAUCUGUAAUUGUCAUGAAUGAUUAACAUAAGUAGCAAGGAACUGACUCAUGUGUGUGUGAUUGCGGCCUUUUCGAAUUACAUAGCUUGCAUGAUAGACUCUAGGGAAAUAAAGGAACAAGAUUAAUUCAAUUGCAGCUAUCUCGAUUAAUUAAUAUUGGUUUAGUCAUUCUCAUUAUUCUUAAUGCUAUCAUUGAGUUGAUAUGGAACGCUAUCGUGCCCAGUUGACUAAUGGUAAGUUUUUAUUUGGAUGCUGGGUUUGAGUCAAUUAUAUUAGGAAUAAAUAGACUAAGUACUUGAAUAGAAAAAUUGAUAUUUAAGCCUAUGAUCAGAAUUACAAUUGGAUGGAAUUUGCACUCUUGAAUUGGAAGUUUGGUAAGAUUGAUUUUUAUUUACUUGAAUAUUCAACCUUUAUUAUUUUUUGUUUAUUUAUAAUUUUGGUUCAAACAUUCAAACCUCCCCAUUUUUAUUGUUUAACUUUGAGAAGCUAUUCACAUUGGUUCCCUUGGGAUUCGACCUGGUUUCACUAUUUCUACAAGUUAGUUUAGGAAAAUCAGUAAUUUAUUUUGAAGGGCUUCGACAACCCGUUCAAAAUUUGUGCCUAUUCCAAGGAGUGCUUCUUGCUUUAUUGAUUCUUGAUUCUUCAAAGAUGAUUGAUGCACUUUGAUAAUGUCUCAUGACAUAUUAUUUUAGAUAAUGAAUUCUUCAUUGAUAACUUAUUAUCUUCAUAUGACUCUUAGUAUACACAAUGACUAUCCCUUGAGCACUCCAUGGAUAGGAGAACAUAAGAUAGUAUCAAAGUAUAAGAAUCCUCAUAUAAGAUAAUAUAUUGUUAUCUCAAGUCUAAGGAUUACAUGAUUGUCAUAAGAAUAUUAUCCAUAGACACUUGGGGUAAAUUCCAUAAGGACUACUUAGUAGGGUCAUGUUGAAUGAACUUAUUCUUGUAACAAGCACCCAUAUGCUUAUAUCAGAAUCUUUAUUCUUCAACCUUAUGAGAUAGAUUGCCUACUUCAAAAGUAAGUGAUAACACAUUAUGGUAGUCUCGAGCGUUUGAUCAAUAUCCAACAAUUAAUAUCUAAUUCUUGACCAAACAUCGACUAUGAACAAAGUUAAUGAACGUAUUUAAUGAGAACCUUAUCAUUAUAAACUCACUUUAUAAUUUCUCUUAUAUUUGUGUUUACAUUCUAUAGUGUUCAUCUUUAACGGUUUAGAUUAUUCCUUAAUGACACCUGACUACCCAUAUCAUUAGAGUCGAACAAUGCCUUUAGUAUAAUUGUAUGCCAUCAAUUGUAAUGUGAAAUUAACAUAGAUCAUCUAACAACUCUUUGUCUUUAGGUUAUACUCUAACAACAAAGUAGUGGCUGCUCUCUGAUAAAGUGUUCUGGUGUUCUUUAGUCCAAAGGCAUAAUCCAUUUAGUAGUUGGAAAUUUGAAUAGCAAGAACUAGUUAAUGAUCACUUAGAGAUAUAGGUAAUUAACUAGCCGGAUUAAGAAUUAACAACUCUUAAUAGCAGUGGAUUAAUCUUAAGGCUAAUCUAAAAUCGAUCGUUAGGAAGAGAUUCUGUCGUUUAGGUUCUUAAGUUUAGGAAUUUGAUGUUCUCGAGAGGGAACUCGAAUUCAAUUUACAAUCCACUCACGAGUAAUUACAAUUGGUAAUCAAUCUAAUUUCUACCUUCACUAAAAUCCAACUAGCUUAGGUCCCCUUAGGUUUGCUUUCUUUCCUUGUUUGUUUCACUAAACCUUUGCAGAUUGCUUGACAUUUAGCUUGCAUCUAGUCAUAGAAUAGUAACUUCGUCACUAUUAUUUAAGGUUAGAUAAAAUAAGACGUUGGAGUAGUUCUAGGCUCACCCUUUCCCGAGAAAAUAACCUUGAUACUCGCUAUUAGUGCUAGUCUGCAUCGACAGGUUCACUGCCUUAGAUUGUAGCUACAUAAAUAGCCCAUCAAGUAUUUGGCGCCGUUGCCGGGGAUUUUUGUGUGAACUAGAGUGAAUUUGUUUUUGUGUUACUCUAGCCAUUUUUGUUUUCUGUCUUUUGAUUUUUCUUUUCCUUAUUCGUCUAUUCAUUUCUAUGUUCUUUGAUUGUUGCCUUUUAAUUUCAGGUAGUUUAUAACAAGGAGCUCUAAUCCUACCACUGUAGACCCUCUUGCUGAACCAGAGCGAUCCCUCCGUCUUUUAAGGAAGCGUAUGCAAGAAGAAGAGGAAGCGCGGAUAGAGAUUGAAGCCCUACGAAUAGACCGGCAGAGAUGGGAGACAACAACAACUAGGCUGUAGAUGAAAAUAGGACAAUGUAUGAGUUUGCUAGGCCCUUUCUUGUAGGGACACAAACGAGUAUAGUGCGACCACCUAUGGCAGCCAACAACUUUGAGAUAAAGCCGAACGUGAUACAAAUGGUCAAGAAUAAUGUCCAAUUUGGGGGACUGCCGAGCGAGGACCUAAACGCUCACAUAGCAACUUCUUGGAGAUCUGUGAUACCUUCAAGAUAAAUGGAACGACUUAUGAUGCCAUUCGGUUGAGGCUGUUUCCUUUUUCUUUGAGGGACCGAGCGAAGAGAUGGUUGCAAUCUUCCCAGCCAACACUAUUACAACAUGGAGUUCUUUGGCUGAAAUUUUUUUAUAUAAGUACUUUUCUCCUACUAAAAAUGCGAAAUUGAGAAAUGACAUAUCUUUUUUUGUGCAGUUCAAUGACGAGAGUAUGUAUGAUACUUGGGAGAGGUACAAGGAUUUGCUUCGAUGUUGCCCGCAUCACGGAUUACCAGUAUGGAUGCAGGUUCAAAUGUUCUAUAGUGAUUUGAACCUCGGUACCAGGCAUAUGGUAGAUGAUGCAGCAGGUGGGGCCCUAAACAAUAAGAUGCUAGAGCAGCCACAAAAUCUGAUAGAGGAGAUGGCCAUGAACAACUACUAGUGGCAAUCCUCUAGGAGUCGGCCAGUCAAGCAAGGAGUGGUUAACCAGCUAGAUUCCACAACAGCCUUGGCAGCUCAGGUGGAGCUUCUGACCAAGAAAAUAGACCAACUCUAGAUGCCGGUUCAUGUAGCACAAAUAAGCUACGAUUUUUGUAGUGGCCCGCACUAUGAUGCAAACUGUAAUGUAGGAGGUAUGUUUGCUUCACCUUCCACUUCUUCUCCUUCUCCAUCCUCUAUUGUUUGUACUGACCUUGAACAAGUAGACUAUAUGGAUAAUGCACCUAAACUGCAAAACAAUUCAUACAGCAAUAAACACAACCCAGGUUGGCAUAAUCAUCCUAACUUCAGUAGGAGGAAUAACAAUGCCUAGGGACCACCCGGCUUUUAGAGAUUGCAUCAGCAACAGCCCCAAUCGCAAGCUGGUCCAUCCCAACUACCUCCACCUCAGGAGAAGAAGCCCGAUCUCGAGGAGUUGGUGAUGAAGUUUGUGUCCUCUACUGACAAUAGGUUCGAGUAGACGGAUAGUGCACUUAGGAAUCAGUAAGCCUCCAUUCAGAAUUUGGAGACUCAAAUAGGCCAGAUUUCUAGGAUGUUGGUUAAGAGGCAGCUAGGGACUCUGCCUAGCACUACAGAGUCCAACCCGAGGGAGCAUGUGAACGCAAUUAUGUUGCGGUCAGGUAAGUAUGUUCCUAGUCCUUUUUUUGUUUUUAACAAUGAUGUUGAUGGGCAGGUAGAUUCAAGCAGGGAAGUUGAAGCUACCAAGGAGAAAGAACUAGAGAAGAAAGAGGCAAAGGAGAUUCCAUUAAGGGAAUACCAGCCCAAAAUUCCAUACCCUGCUAGAUUAAAGAAGGCGUAAGUCGAGCAGCAGUUUGGUAAAUUUCUGGAUAUUUUUAAACAACUGCAUAUGAACUUGUCUUUUAUUAAAGUUAUUUCGCAUAUGCCUAGGUAUGCGAAGUUCUUCAAGGAGAUUCUUAGCAACGAAAGGAAGUUUGAGGACUUGGCGUGCGUGACGCUAAAUAAGGAAUGUUCGGUAAUUUUCUAAAAUAAGUUACCGGAAAAGCGACAUGAUACAAGGAGUUUUACUAUUCCUUGUUAUAGGUAACUUAUAUAUUAAUUAUCCUUUAGCUGAUUUAGGGGCUAGCAUUAAUAUAAUGUGAUGUGCGUAAAAUACACACAUCUAAAUGGGGUUUUUAAGAUUGAUUUUAUGGAUAUUUGGAUAUGAAUUGGUACCAACACUCACCUUAUGCGUCUGUUUGUGUGCAUUAGGUCCAAAAGGAAUCAAAGGAUGAUAAAGGAAAGAAUUGGAGCAUAAUUGGACGUCAAAGCUACCGAAAUGAGCUAAGUAUGCCCAUGCAGAAGGUUAACACGGUCGUGUUGUAUUCAACAUUGGCCGUGUUGGAUGCGUCAAACAUGAAAAAAAAAGCUUUUAGGGAGCACGGCCACAGAGAGUAACACGGCCAGGAACACCAGCCCGUGUCCCCAACACGGCACAGAACACGGCCAUGUUGGCGGCGACAAGGGGAAUUAAUUAAAAGAACGAAGAGAGGAAAAAAAGAGGAGGCUAGGGUUAGAACGUCCCAAACACUAAUAUUUCUCUCUCUAAGGGUUUUCUGAGCUGAAACCAAGAGAAAAGGAGACUGGGAUCAAGGUUCAAUCGGAUUUCCUUCGAAGAUUGAAGAUUGGGCAAGGUUCAUCGAUCGGUUUUCAAAUCGAGUAAGAGGAACAAGGAUUGAUUCAAGAUUGAGCAAGAGGAAUUAGGGCUGUUUACUCUCAUCCAAGGGUGUAAUCGGGUUUUCUCUACCUUUGCUCAUUGUUGUAAUUGAAUUCUUAUGUAUUUUGAUAAUAAACAUGAUUAGCUAGAUUGAUUAAAUCCAUUGGGAUUUCUUUACUAUGUUGGUUUAGUAUUAUAUUGUUGGAUUGUUUGGAUUUGUUUUGUAUUCUUCUUGCUUUCAGUAUUAAUAAGAUAAUCAUUAUUCAUGAGACGUUGUGAAUUAUGUGUUUAGAUUGCUUUGUGUGAUUGAGAAGUCCAUUUGGCAUUUGGAAUUUUGAAUAGCAAGAACUGGUUAAUAAUCGCUUAGAGAUAAGGAUAAUUAACUAGCCGGAUUAAGAAUUAACAAAGCUUAAUAGAGGCGGAUUAAAGCUUAAUGCUAAUUUAAGAAUCAAUCGUUAGGAAGAGAUUCCAACUUUAGGUUAUUAGAUUUAGGAAUUCGGUUAUCUCGAGAGAGAAACCGGAUUCGGUUAAGAAUUCGUCCACAAGUAGCAUAAUUAGAUUCAACAAUCCUUUAUCUUUUGUUUGAUUGCCAACUAGUUUAGGUUCCCUUUGGAUUUUCUCUCUUGCCUUAGUUAUUUUAGUUGUCAAUUACUCUUGCAUCUCACUUAGAAUUUAGAUUGUAGCUAUUAGUUAGUUUAGAAAGUAUUCAUCACUCAUUUUAGGUUAAUAUAACAAAGAACAAAGGAGUAACUCUGGGCUUUCACUUUCCCGAGGAAUACGACCUUGAUACUCGCCAUUAGUGCUAGACUGCAUCGAUAGGUAUACUGCCUUAGAUUGUAGCUAACACGAGUAGCACCCAUCAGGUUUUUAGCACCGUUGCUGGGGAAAAUGUUUGAAAACUAGAGUGAAAUUUGCUAUUUGUUAAUUUAGCCAUUUUUUUGUCUUUUUUAUUAUUUUAUGAUUUUUAUUUUUAUUUGUUUAUUUAUUUUAUUUUAUUUGUACAUAUUUAUUUAGUUUAAGUUUAUGAUUCAGAUAGUGAAUGAUAAGGAGGUUCAAUGCUAAACUCAAACUCUUUGUAUGACGCAUUGGAAAAUGGGAUUAGGAACCAAGAGAGUUCUAAAAAUUGGGAUACCCGUGCAUCUUUAGAAGCUCGAGUGGAAUCGUUUUGCAGGGCUACCGAUCAACUCUCCACUCCUAUCCUUUCAUCUCAAGUUUUUUAUGAAUUUUGUUGUGGUUUACAUUUGAGUAAUUAUUAUCCAUUAUAUAGUGAUGUUGCUCAUUGUUCUUAUAACUCUGAACAGGUGAAUUAUACGGGAAGUUGGCCAAAUGACUCGUAUGGAAGCACCUACAAUCAAGAAUGGAGUAUUCAUUCACCUUUUGGAUGGAGCUUAGAUGGCCCAGAACCACCAGAAUCUCAGCAACCACAUCAGCAGCCUAAUCUUGCACCUUCAACUCAAGAUGAAGAGUUAGUGUCGGAGGAGCUGAUGACGAGGUUCAUUACAAGUCUUGAUGAUAAAUUCCAACAAACAGAGAGGAUAAUUGAAGAUCAACAAGCCUCGAUUAACAACAUAGAGCAUCAAGUAGGCUUAAUCUUCAAGUUACUAGCUGAAGAGCAAUUGGGAACUCCAUCAAACGCUACUGAAUCCGAGGAACAUUUGAGCGCCGUCACUUUGCGUUCAGGUGAGAAUUUUUCUGGUUUAUCUAUUAUGUUUGACAAUGAUGCUUAUGUGCAGGAUGACUCUUUGAACAUGGAGAUAGAACUAGAAAAGGAAGAGGCAAACAUGAUCCCUCUGAAAGACUACCAACAGGAAUACACAGUUGAUGAUGCUGAGUUGCAGUUAGAGGAAUUUUUGGUGGAUUUUCCACAAGUCCGUUCGAUGAUGGAAGAUGAGCAUGAGUUAUCUAAUGAAGAAGUCUUGGAGGAGCUCGAGUUUCUUCUAGCAAGUGAACCAAGACAAGGACUAGAGGAAACCAUUGACGUUCCUGAAGAAAUUGCCCAACCGUCAAUCCUUCCAAUUGGUGAAACUUCAGCUUUCAAAUUGGAAGAGCCCCUAGAGCAUCAUGACUACGUGCAAUUAUACGAGGAGCGAGUCUUGCCCAUCAUACUGGCAGCUUGCUUGAUAGUCGGGAAGAGGACAUUGAUGAUUAUCCCUCUAAGCGGAUACUUGAAGCCAUUUGCUUGGAAGAAGGAUGGAUGGUCGUUGAUCACGCCCAAUUGCUUUUCACCAUGAGUCCAGCUAAGAAGACUCAUCACAUCAAAAAGAAGCGCUUUUGGGAGGCACCCCAAAUUUUAUUUUAUUUCUUUUUCAUUUUUAAUUUAUUUUAUUUUAUUUUUUUUACCCUUUCCUUUUGAAACAUUUUAUUAGUUUUAGUUUUCAUAUUUUAUUUAAUUUUUAUUUCAGUUUCGAUUUUAAUUCCUUAUUUUAUUAUUUGCAGCCACUCCUCCACCACAGACCAGCCAGCGCCCUGAUAUACCUGCUGAUGCACCUCUUUUCACUCCGGAGCCAUAAUCAGGGCAGUAUUAGUUUCUUUUUUCCUUUUUCAUUUCAUAUAUUUUGUACACUGAGGACAGUGUGUCCUUUAAGUGUGGGGUGGGUGAUAUUUAUCCCAUCUUAGUUAUUUGUUUAUUCUUCGUGCAAUUUUUUGUAAAAUUUUGAAAAUUUUUCACUUUGUUUCAAUGCUCUUACUGUUGACUUGAUUUUGAAAUCCUGUUUAUGUCUAUGUGAUCGGGUAAAACCGAUAGUGUUGAGUUUUGCGGAAGAGUGUAAGAUAAUUAGUUUGAGUUUUGCACUAAGUUGCUUUGGUUUAUUUAAUUCUGUUUUGAUAAUUUUUGUUUGGAACCUACUCAAAAGCACACUUGUGAGAAAUUGAGCCUAAAUUGCAAGCAUACACUUUAUAUGCUUGUAUUUAUUUCUUGUUGAGAGUGCCAAUUACUAUCUUUACUUUUAGAACUUGCUCGGUAAUGCUUAUGAGGGCCACAAGGAGAGUUUAACACUUUGGUAUGAUAGAGGCACUUAGGUUUUUCAUUUUAGCCAAAUAGCCUUCAUUCGUUUAUUGAUUCUGUAGAUAACCCCUUCUUUCACCAUUUUUUUUUAUCAUAUUCCAUUACCACUUAGUUUUAUUCUGCUUUGGGUUAUGAUUUUGCACAUGAGUUAUUUUUAUUGGGAAUUUAUCUUGGGAAUAGCUUUGGAAUCUUGUAGCAGCUUACUUCAAUCCAAAAAGAAAUUCACUCUAUUAUGUGAAUGUUCUUCCCUUAUGAAAAAAAAAGAAAAAAAAAAGAAAGAAGAAAAAUAUAUAAAAAGAAGAAUAAGAGGGAAAGGUGAUGAAAAGAAAGAAAGUAAGUGAGCCAAACAUUUUGACUUGAUUCCUAUUUCCCACCUUAGACUAUUGUCCAUUGUUUACCCCUUGUGAUCAUUGUGACUUGUGUGCAUGUCAUGUAUUUCAUUGCAGAACACCAUAGGUUCAACUCUUACCAAAUUUACCUACCCCUACCUGAUCCCCAUUACAACCCUUAUAAAGACCUCUUGACAUGGUUGUUGACUCUCCAUAAGUGGUAGGAGUAGGAUUUAAGAGCAAGCAUAUAGUAAGUAAGGCAGUAGUUGAUGCAUUGAGCGAUUAAACACUACCCUUUAAACACUUUGAGUGAUUUAGAGUGAAUCUGGUGAGGAGUUGGUUCUGAAUAAUUUUGUUGAGACAGUAUUUUGUGAAUUAUUGGCAUCUUGGUUUUGAUACUUGAAUUGAUUGCUUCGUUUCUUUUUGUUUGACUUACGCUUGUUAAGGAUAUGUGUAGGAGCUCUCUAGCUUGUCUAUCAGUUUAAGUACUGUUUCUUAGUGGUUUAUUUUCCUUAUUUUACUUUUGAUUGCUUGAGGAAAAGCAAUGAGCUAAGUGUGGGGUUAUUUGAUGUGCGUAAAAUACACACAUCUAAAUGGGGUUUUUAAGAUCGAUUUUAUGGAUAUUUGGAUAUGAAUUGGUACCAACACUCACCUUAUGUGUCUGUUUGUGUGCAUUAGGUCCAAAAGGAGUCAAAGGAUGAUAAAGGAAAGAAUUGGAGCAUAAUUGGACGUCAAAGCUACCGAAAUGAGCUAAGUAUGCCCAUGCAGAAGGUUAACACGGCCGUGUUGUAUUCAACACUAGCCGUGUUACCAACACGGCCACCAACACGGCCGUGUUGGAUGCGUCAAACAUGAAAAAAAAAGCUUUUAGGGAGCACGGCCACAGAGAGUAACACGGCCAGGAACACCAGCCCGUGUCCCCAACACGGCACAGAACACGGCCCUGUUGGCGGCGACAAGGGGAAUUAAUUAAACUAACGAAGAGAGGAAAAAAAGAGGAGGCUAGGGUUAGAACGUCCCAAACCCUAAUAUUUCUCUCUCUAAGGGUUUUCUGAGCUAAAACCAAGAGAAAAGGAGACUUGGAUCAAGGUUUCAAUCGGAUUUCCUUCGAAGAUUGAAGAUUGGGCAAGGUUCGUCGAUUGGUUUUCAAAUCGAGUAAGAAGAACAAGGAUCGAUUCAAGAUUGAGCAAGAGGAAUUGGGGCUGUUUACUCUCAUCCAAGGGUGUAAUCGGGUUUUCUCUACCUUUGCUCAUUGUUGUAAUUGAAUUCUUGUGUAUUUUGAUAAUAAACAUGAUUAACUAGAUUGAUUAAAUCCAUUGGGAUUUCUUUACUAUGUUGGUUUAGUAUUAUAUUGUUGGAUUGUUUGGAUUUGUUUUGUAUUCUUCUUGCUUUCAGUAUUAAUAAGAUAAUCAUUAUUCAUGAGACGUUGUGAAUUGUGUGUUUAGAUUGCUUUGUGUGAUUGAGAAGUCCAUUUGGCAUUUGGAAUUUUGAAUAGCAAGAACUGGUUAAUAAUCGCUUAGAGAUAAGGAUAAUUAACUAGCCGGAUUAAGAAUUAACAAAGCUUAAUAGAGGCGGAUUAAAGCUUAAUGAUAAUUUAAGAAUCAAUCGUUAGGAAGAGAUUCCAACUUUAGGUUAUUAGAUUUAGGAAUUCGGUUAUCUCGAGAGAGAAACCGGAUUCGGUUAAGAAUUCGUCCACAAGUAGCAUAAUUAGAUUCAACAAUCCUUUAUCUUUUGUUUGAUUGCCAACUAGUUUAGGUUCCCUUUGGAUUUUCUCUCUUGCCUUAGUUAUUUUAGUUGUCAAUUACUCUUGCAUCUCGCUUAGAAUUUAGAUUGUAGCUAUUAGUUAGUUUAGAAAGUAUUCAUCACUCAUUUUAGGUUAAUAUAACAAAGAACAAAGGAGUAACUCUAGGCUUUCACUUUCCCGAGGAAUACUACCUUGAUACUCGCCAUUAGUGCUAGACUGCAUCGAUAGGUAUACUGCCUUAGAUUGUAGCUAAUACGAGUAGCACCCAUCAGGUUUUUAGCACCGUUGCUGGGGAAAAUGUUUGAAAACUAGAGUGAAAUUUGCUAUUUGUUAAUUUAGCCAUUUUUUUUUCUUUUUUAUUAUUUUAUGAUUUUUAUUUUUAUUUGUUUAUUUAUUUUAUUUUAUUUGUACAUAUUUAUUUAGUUUAAGUUUAUGAUUCAAAUAGUGAAUGAUAAGGAGGUUCAAUGCUAAACUCAAACUCUUUGUAUGACGCAUUGGAAAAUGGGAUUAGGAACCAAGAGAGUUCUAAAAAUUGGGAUACCCGUGCAUCUUUAGAAGCUCGAGUGGAAUCGUUUACAAGUCACUUUGCCAAAGGGAGAUGAGCAUGAGCUGUCAAUUGAGGAAGUGUUGGAGCAGCUUGAGUUUCUGUUAGCAAACGAGCCAAGCAACAAUACUGAUGAGUUUGCUGUGAUUGACAGGAUAGAUGUGCAGAAGUUGAGGCCAUCACUUGAGAAACCGCUGGUUCUUGAUUUAAAAGAGCUUCCACAACGUCUUGACUAUGCGCAUAUGGAUGAGGAUAACGGGCUGCCUGUAAUUCCAACAGCAGACUUGACACUCGAGGUGAGGGAAAUUUCAUUGCCCUCUCAAAGGAAGUACCUAAAAGGGGUUGCUUAGAGGAUUGCUAACAUUCUAAGGAUCCAUAACUUGGCAGUUCAAUCGCAGGAUAUGUCAAACCCGCACAUGUAGAGAGUUAUCACCGAGUUUAGCUAAAUGACUCGAGAAACAAAAAGAAGCACUUUUGGGAGGCACCCCAACUUUUAUUUAGUUUUGGAACAUUUUUUAUUCAUUUUAGUUUUCAUAUUUUAUUUAAUUUUUAUUUUCAGUUUCUAUUAUUUCUUUGUUUUUCAUUUUCAGCUCGUGCCAAGGACCCACCAAAUUUUCACUCCACUAGCCUUAGCGGAUGAUCAGCCAGUCCCUCUUGAUUUUCUUUUUAUUUUCUGCAUGAUUUACUUUAUUUCUCAUACAUGUCAUGUACCUAGAUAUAAUUGAUUUUGCUUUCUUUAUUUGUACAUCCCAUGCAGGGUACCCACUUUGUUUUACAUUGAGGAUAAUGUGUUCUUCAAGUGUGGUGUGGGUAAACCGUAUGUUCUCUUCUCUUUCCUAUGACUUUUAGAUGUGUCUAAAAUUGCUAUCACUAGUGUUGUAUAUUAUUAGGAUGUUAGGACCUAUGUUCUUCAUCCGCUUAAACUUAGUUUGUUCUUUUGUAAUUAAUGAUUUAAUUCACAUACUUGUAAUUGAUUGUCCCUCUCGAUUUUUAUUCUUGGAAAGCAAUUUCAUUGUGUUCAAUAUGUCACUUUGGCCGGGUUAAACCGGUGUUGCUUUAGUUCUUUGCAAAUUUUCAGCCUUUAUCUUUGAACUUUGAUUAUGCUAAUCUCUUAUACCAUUUAUGUGAUGAUUCAAUUUAUAAGUUUGGGAACCAAUUACAGAUUUUAGCCACUUCAAAUGUAAGUUUUUUUUAAUCAAAAUUUAAGCAUCCAUUGCAAUUAUGCUCAUGAUCUUUCUUGUUUGAGUGUGCGUUGUACUUAAUUUUGUUUCUAGAACUUGCUCUGUAAUGCUUGUUGAGGUUACAUGAAUUUUUGAAUACCAUUAAAUGAUUUGGGUAACUUAGGAUUCACCAUAUUUGGCCAAAAGCCUACCCUUUGUUUCCAUUAAUCAAUCAGUUUUGAGCCUUAACAUUUUCUUCAUGAUUUACACCUAUACACUACAUUUAUACCAUUCUCUAUAUUUGUCUUUUCUUUCACCCUGUAUACUAAAUAAUUAUAUGAUAUGCUUCUUCUUUUAUGGAAUUAUAGUGCCUAAUUUUGUUAUAAAUUCACUUAGUCCUUUUAAUAAUUUUUUGAUGCUCCCUUCAAUCCAAAUUGUAUAACUAUUCUCUUUAUUUGUGUCAUUAACCAUGCAGCCCCUAUGUAAGCUGUUGUGGCAUAUAUAUAAAAAAAGAAAAAAAACAAAGAGAAAAAAUCUAAUUAAGUGUUUAUUGUGCUUCUUUCUUAGCUCUUUUCUCUUUUGGAUUCAAUUCUUUUAAGCAUCCUCUACUUCAAAUAAGGCUUAGUAAGUACUUUUGUUGAUUUGGCAUUCAGCUCCUGAAGCAUUCAUUCUAAAUAAAUUACAUGAUUUUUCAAUAUACUUUACACUUCUAUCCAAAUAUUCUUACCUUUACCUUAGCCACAUUUCGACCCUUGUAAAGACCCUUUGAUUUUGGUAUACAUUUAUUCGCAGUAGCGAAGAUGGGAUUUAUGAGCAAGCUUAUGGUAAACAGGUUUUGUGCAGCUGCAUUGAGGGAAUAUUUUUUGUUUACCUGUAAACACUGUGAGUAUUUGAAAGAUCCCUACGAGGCAAUGGUUCCUACUCUUUAAUGCUGAGUUGUUAUAUAAGUUGUACUUCGAGAUGGUAUUAUUAUUGUUCUUCUUUGAAGGUGUAUGAUUUGUUUAGCUACUUGAGUUUCAUUCUUUAUAUGUUAAAUAAGGUUAAGAUGUGAACCUUAGCAUGGAUUUUGAGGGGUGAUUGUUGCUUGUAUAUGUAUUGAGUUAUUGAUUGCUUGAGGACAAGCAAAAGCUUAAGUGUAGGGUGAUUUGAUAUGCAUUGUGUUACACAUGUUUAUAUGCCCAAUUACUUCCAUUUUUAUGCAUAGUUAUCUUAUUUUAUGCCAGAAUCACCUGUGUUUUAGUUCCUUUCAUGUUUCAGGCAGUAUUUGAGGGCAAUACAUGCGAAUACGGACCAAAAUCCAUCAAAAUUGAACAAAGGCUAGCAUUUCAAGGUUGAGUACGGCCUGGACUCUGGCCGUGCUGAACCAUCGACCUUUGACCCUCAAAUGUGGCCUUUCAGCACAGUUUUUAAGGCCACCACGGUCUCCAUCACGGCCCGCAGUGGCUCAGCAUCAGCGAGGGCACGGUUAGGGAGCAGAGGAUGAUUUCGGGACUCAGAGGUCCAGCAUGGCCUGUACUCCGCCCGUGCUGACCAGCACGGGCUUGACCACAGCCAUGCUGGGACAUUUAUAUAGGCAAAAUUGAUUUCUUUUGUGAGGGUUCGGCUUUCUGACUUUUGAUCUCAUAUACGCGUGCGAGCCACCUCAUUUUAAACUUCAACAUUCGACUUUAGGAGACCAUUUCGCAUAUUGAAAGACGGAUUUCAGUGGUUCAAGCAUCACAUUGAAGACCAAGAAUGGAUUUAGAGGCAUUCAAGAGGCAACUCGAAGUUCAUUAUUUAGAUUUGGAGAUUUAGGACUGUUCAUCUGACUUGAAGAAGAAGGGUGUACAUGUUUCCAAUUUUCUUUUCUGUAUUUAUUCCUUAUUUGGUGUUAUUCGUUAGCAUGAGUAGCUAGAGUUGUUGAACUCAUUGGGUUUCCUUUGUUUGUUGGAUUGCACUUAAUGUUUAUGAGAUUUUUAUUAUCAAUGCUUGUAUUCUUAUUGCUUUGAGUAUUAAUAAGAUAUCGCAUUAUUCAUGAGACGUUGUGCAUUAUGUUGUUCAGAUUGAUUUCUGUAAUUGAGAAAUUCAUUUAGUAGUUGGAAAUUUGAAUAGCAAGAACUAGUUAAUAAUCACUUAGAGAUAUGGGUAAUUAACUAGCCGGAUUAAGAAUUAACAACUCUUAAUAGCAGUGGAUUAAUCUUAAGGCUAAUCUAAAAUUGAUUGUUAGGAAGAGAUUUCAUCAUUUAGGUUCUUAGCUUUAGGAAUUCGGUGUUCUCGAGAAGGAACUCGAAUUCAAUUUAGAAUCCACUCACGGGUAAUCACAAUUGGUAAUCAAUCUAAUUUCUACCUUCACUAAAAUCCAACUAGCUUAGGUCCCCUUAGGUUUGCUUUCUUUUCUUGUUUGUUUCACUAAAUCUUUGCAGAUUGCUUGACAUUUAGCUAAUCAUUUAGCUUGCAUCUAGUCAUAGAAUAGUAACUUCAUCACUAUUGUUUAAGGUUAGAUAACAUAAGAUGCUGGAGUAGUUUUAGGCUCACCCUUUUCUGAGAAUAUGACCUUGAUACUCGCCAUUAGUGCUAGUCUGCAUCGAUAGGUUCAUUGCCUUAGAUUGUAGCUACAUAAAUAGCCCAUCAAGUUUUUAUUUUUUAGUCCAAAGGCAUAACCUUGUACUAGUAUAUUCCCCAUUUGGUGAUAAAUGAUGUCUUCAGCUUGUCCACACUACCAUCACGAUCUGAUUAUACCCGGAGAACCCUUCUAUAAAGGAAUACAUCGUAUUUGAGGCGACACUGUCGACUAUUACAUCUAUGUGAGGAAGAGGAAAGUCAUCCUUAGGGCAUGUUUUCUUCAAAUCCUGGUAAUCCACUCACAUCUGGACCUUACCAUCCUUCUUCAAGAUUGGAACAAUAUUUUCCAACCACUCGGGUAAGGUUUGUUGAUGGAGUCAUGGUCGGGCCUAGUACUGGUAGUCUUUAGCCUUGAGUUCUCAUCUAUCUAUCUCUAGAGGUCACCCCCUGCAAUUCAAUUGGGACAAGGGUCUCAGAGGUUAGUCAACCACGUCAAGGAAAUUGGCGUUUAUCUACUUAGCAACCUCUCCCUAUAUAUUUUUCUACCCAUUCUAGGCUUAAUAUUCUCAUCUUUUGUUUAACUGACAUCAUGUGUGGAUGAGUCGAAAUAUGGUGCUCUACUAUUUUUCUAUCUAAACCUGGCAUGUCAUCAUAUGACCAAGCAAAUACCCUUUUUUUUCUACUAUCCUUUCAAUUCUCUCCUCUCCUCAAGAGUUAUAUCGUGAGCUAUCAAAACAUUCUGUGGAUUUGUAUCUGUGCCUAAAUUAAAUGAAUCAAUUUGUAUGUAAUUGAUGUCAAACAGGCACAUGUCAUGAUUAUCAAAAUGCAAAUUACAAUAAGGGAAAACAUCGUACAAGUAAGCAAAAUCAUUCAUAUCAUUUUCAGCCAUCGGAGAAAUACUUUUCUAGCUUUAAACUUUUUUUCUUGUGACUUAUAUACUAGAUAUACAUGUUAUUUAUCUAAAAUAUGUGAAAAAAUGCAAAAAGACAUCAAAAGAUUGUGUGCCUAGCCUGUAGAGCCGAUCGGCUAUGUGCAAUGCCAUUCGACUGUGCACAUAGUCGAUAUCGGCACUGUACAGUGCCGAUUCAGCUCUACACAGUCCAAAUUGACCGUGCACAGGCCAAAAUAGGGUUUUCAAGGCAUUUUUGCAUAAAAUACUAAUAAAUAGACAUAUGCUUACCUAUUUAGGGUCUUUUUGUGCGUAAAUUGCAUUUAAUACUUGUGCAUCCGACUUUUUAGGGUGAUGUUGUAUCGAUUCGAUUUGCUGAAAACUUUUACAGGGCUCGUGAGUGAUUUGAUGAGCUCCCUAGCUCUGUCCAAGCUAGGAUUGGCGAUACCAGCUUCCAUCGGUUCGUGGCUAUACUUCCGUCAGUCACCGGGAGGACUGACCAUACCUCCGUCUAUGCCUUACUUGAGAGGUGGAUGGACACUACUUAUACCUUCCACACCCUGUUUGAUGAGCUAACACUCUCCCCUCUUUCCUUUUCCGCUAUCACAGGCAUCGAUUUCUCCGGCACACCCGUGCCCUUUGAUGACGCGAUCCACGAUCAGUGCUCUAUUACUUACUUGCUCGGGUUCUUGUCGGUGUUCAAGAACAUGCGUUGCAUCGCAUACCAGAGCAUACCCUUCCACUACCAAGGCUUUGUUCUUGAAAUGCUCAGAAAGUAUUUUAGAUGACCUGAGCCUUUAUAGUGUACCUCUUUAGUACGACUUUGUUCAGUGACUCAAGGAAUUCACUGAACUUCCACUAUCUAGCCCCGUUGCGUGAUUUGGAUCAGGUCUCCUCCUACAACUAGGGAACUAACGCUCUCACGUACUUGUAUCAUCAGAUGGACAUUACAGUCCAUGGCAGUAAGAGGAUCUAUAAUUUUUGGCACACGAUCCAUGUAAGUUAUGCUCUAACUUCUCUUUUCUAGUUUCUUUUAUUGGUACUGCGAAUGCUAACUCUUGUUUUACAGGUUUGGGCCCUAGAGACCGGCCUUCUAGUGGGUUCACAGGCCAUUUGCACUUCGUAAGCUUUCCCUCGCUUGAGUAGCUGGGGCUCGAGCAGGAGCGUCCCAUUGGAGUGGGCCUAGAUUCAUGUGCACCGCAUGUGGAUCAACACUACAACCUAAGAAAAGGCAAACAAAAUUUAUUAGUUGUACUCGUGAUUUACUUAUAUAGUUACUUACCUUUCUAGUUUACAGAUUCGAGGUGAUUGGCUGGGGGAGCACUAUCAGUGGGACCCCUACAUCCUUUCUGCAGCUAACCUCUAGCAGAGGAGGAUUUUGAUGGCGGGACCUACUUGUUGGGUGUGGUACUUAGGCGAGAGAUCUAACGGUGGGAGUGAGGCCCUAGUAGACGCUGAGUUCCCUUGUCUCCUACUCUCUAUAUGUUAUAGAUGGUGAACCUCGUUAGGGAGGAGUUAGCAGAGUGUUUAGUGGGGUACGACGAGCUUGAGGAUCUUACCAUUCAAUUUCGGAGGACGUAUUACACUUCCUUCAUCCCUCAGUUGCUAGGGUUAUGCCUUUAGACGAUGAUGUCAUGGCUCAGGUAUCUUUCUUAGACUUCUUGAAAUUCCUGAUUUCUUUAAAUUCUUUUUUUUCUAAACAUUUUAUUUGUAGUUCCUCCACCAGGCCCCCGCUGGUCGUGAACUGAUUGAGGGGCGAUCCAUCUGACGUUCUAGGCCUUCCCACAUUAUGGGCUCUUCUGCUGGUACAGCCUCCGAGGCACCUCCUACAACCGCGUCUAAUGUGGUUCCAAGGAAUGGUCUCAUACUAUAGUCCCUAGGGUGCGAUAGAGCACCGGCUUGCCAUGGAGCAUUGCCUCCCUCCGAAAUUCACUCCAAGCACUUGCACACAUGUAAGUAACAUUAUCCUUCAUGUUUGCAUGUCUCAUUUUCCUCAAAAAGUUAGUGACAUAUUAUGCAAAUAACCAUACAAGUUCAGAGAGACCAAUUCGAGUACAUCCAUCGAUUGGUCGGUGCCAUGAUGAGGUAGUUCUUCGUCCUUGGCGAGGACUGGAGGGUAAGAAAAUGAUUAUAAAAUGUAAGAUGUAUGCAUGUAUGUAUGAAAUACACUAACUAAUUUCCUUUUGGGUUUUCAUUAGAGGGACCAUAAGGGCUUGCAGUGAUAAGUAGACGACCGGCAUCGUCAGAUUGAUGCUCAGCAAUGUCGGAUCGACACUAUGUUGCUUCAGCUAUCGAUCUAGCGGACCUAGAGGAUGGACACCGACUCAGAUGAUGGGAUAAGGAAUUUGGGAGAGAACUCCAAUUUUUUUAUCUUUGUUAUUGCUUGUACUUUCCUUUUCUUGCCAUUGCUCGUACUCUUUCGUCUUUUGUAGAACUUUUAACUUUUUGAGGGUAUAUAAAAUCCUUCAUUUUGGCCUUUAAAUCACUUUCAUUUUUCUUUAUUUCCCUUUAUUAUCGCAUCUACAUGAGCUUAUAUGCAACAAAAAUGAAAAUCCACACAAAAAGACUGACAAAAUUGGCCAAAAUUUACUCUGGGAGGCCACACACCCUACCGGCUGUGUGCUCAACCGAUCCGGCUCUAUGUAUAGCUGAUCGGAUGUGCACUAUGCCGAUUGGCUCUGUAGUUUGCAAAGUCUGAAUCGGACACUGAUUCAAGGCCUAUAUAUAUCCAUGCGCCUUCUCACUUCUUCAUAUGUGAUUUUACAUUCAUAAAGCCAAAAAUAUAUCUCAAAAGAGUGCCAAAACCUUGCACCUUGCAAACUCUCCUUAAAACCCUAACAUCUUUCUCCGACGUCAUUUUUGCCAAUUAGGGUUUUAGAUUUGAUUAAAAACAUGUUAUAGGGUUAAUAUUUAGGUCUUUUAUUAAUAUGAUUUAGUAAUUAAGCCAAAAUAAAACAUGAUUCCUUGUUUUGAUAAUCUUUUAUCAGUUCAUAAGAUUUUAGGUUUUUUAGCUUCUAUAACUUUUAUUUUAUUAUUUUUAUUUAUUUUAUCUCAUUCUAAUUAAUUUUUUAAUACCUGUGCAUGUGAAAAUCGACUCUGAAGUGUGAGAUUCAACUGGUGAACAAAGGAAAAUUGACAGGAAUAUGCCCUUGGACUCUAGAGCCGAUCGGCUCAAUAUAGAGCCAAUUGGUUCUAUAAUGAGUCGAUUGGCUCUUCAUGCAUAGCCGAUUGGCUAACAAAACUGGACCAUUUAUUUUUUGCAUUUUUGGCAUAUUUUAAUACAUUCUUAGCCUCUGUACAGUUUUAGGCCUGCGACAUGGGAAGGUCGAUACCGUCCUUUAGUCAGCUCGCGGAUAGUAGGGGACUGGGGAACAAGAUGUGAAUAGGUGAAUAAAAGAGUAGUACAUAGUAAAAAAGAGAAUUCCAAAUAACUUGAGAAAAUACCUGGACAACAGUGUCAUCCCUGAGAGGUAAAGUCCCCAGCAGUUAUGGGAUGAAUAAGGUAUAAUUAAUCAGCCGUGAAUGGAUGGUGAAGUCCUUAAGCUCGCCAUACCCGUUCAAGCACUCUGGCAGCUCCUCUCUAGCAAGAUUCGAUGUCCAAAAUAUAAAAGGGAGGAGGUAAUGGGACUCGGCGCCUGUUGGGACCGUGCUCCCAACUGUAGAUCCUCUUGCCUAGAUAUCGGGCCCAAUAGGCAAGCCCGGCUAACAGGAUCCUCCUCUGCUCGAGGUCAGUCGCUGACAGCAUAUAACGCUCCCACUAGUCGCAUUCCCCUAGCCAAUCACUCUGGAUCUGUAAACCAGAGAAGGUAACCGACUAUAUAAAUAAAACACAAAUAUAGCUAAUGAAUUGUGUUUACCAUGUCCCAAGUUAGGCUGUAGAUCCAUGCAUGGUGCAUGUGAACCUGUGAUCACUCUUAGGCUACUGUCCUGCUUGAGCCCUAACGGCUCAAACAAGGAAAAGCUUGCAAGGUAUAGAUGGGCUGUGAGCCCACCAGGAAGCCGAUCUCCAAGGCCCAAACCUGCAAAAAAUAAGGAGUUAGCACACGCAAUGUUUAUAUAAAAGGAAUUAAAAGAAAGAAGUCAGGACAACUCAUAUGGAUUGCGUGCUAGAAACCACAAAUCCUCUUACCAUCAUAAAUGGUGACAUCAUCUGAUGGUAAAGGUAGGCGAGGGCCUUAGACCCCCAGUCAUAAGAUGAAACCUGGUCUAGGUCUCACAGAGCUACUAGAUAGUGAAAAUUCAAUGAGGUCCUAGAAUAAUUGAAUAGAGUAGUACCAAAAAGGUACACCAAGAACGCUUGGGCCCUUUGGUCAACCUCCCGAGCAUUAUAAGGAAUGAAGCCCUGGUAGUGGAGAAGGAUGCACUGGUAAGCAAUGCAUCUCGCAUUCUUGAGCGUCAGUGAAAAAUCUAGUAGGUCAACUAUGAAGCGCUGUCAAGCCUCGGGACGCCGAUAAUGGAUCGCAUCAUCAAAAGGCAUGAGCGUGCUGGAGAAAUUGAUGCUACUGAUAGCAGAAAAUGCAAUGGGAGAAAGAGUUAGCUCACCAAUAGGAGUAUGGAACAUUUGUGUCGUAUCCAUCCAUCUCUCUAACAAAGCAUAAACUAAAGAGUGAUCAACUCUCCCAAUAACCGAAGGAAGUGCGGCCACGAACUGACAAAGGCCAGUGUCCCCAAUCCUUGCCUAAACCAAGCUAGGUAGCUCGUCAAACCACUCACGUGCACCAUAGAAGUUUUCGGCGUACCGGAUUGGUAUUGUAUUGCCCUAAAAAGUAAAAAUAGGUAUUUAAGUAUCACAUGCAUACAAAACACUCUAAGGAGGUAAGUAUGUAUCUAUCCGGUAUUAUUUUCAUGAAAAGCCCCUAGAACACCUUUGUCCGGCAUAUAUACAGCUGUUUGUACUGUGUAGAGUCAAUACAUAGUACCAAUCAGUACUACAUAGUAUCGAUCGGCUGUAUGCACAGCCGAUUCGGCUAUACAUACAACUGAUCGGCUAUAUAGGUUAGGGUUAUGAGAUUUCUUUAGUUCUUUCACAGAUUUGCACAUAUUUUGAGUGAUUAACAUGCAUACUAAGUUUCUAAGUCAUAAAAAACAAGUUCAGGUCAAGAAAUUACCUCUCUAACAGCUCGGAAGGUGCGAUGUAUGCUCAAUUUUGCUAGAAGAAGAAUCUCCUCUCCUUUCACAAGCCCAAUGUCAUUUUAGUGAAAAAUUGGAGUAGUGAGCUCCCAAUUUGGUGCAACUUGGGUCCGUCCAAUAGGUCUAGAUGAUGAACUUGCCAUUUGAAGACUGAUUUUUUGCAAAUCGAUUGAGAAUUAAGUAAGAAAUCAAAGAAAGAGCAAAAAAGGAUUUAGAGAGAAAACUAAGGAAAUGAAUAAGGUGGAGAAAGAAGAAUGGAUAAGCCUAUAUAUGUCCUAAGGAGGGGCAAAAAUGUUAUUUAGGUCCCUGACCUAUCAAAAUUAAAUUUUAGUCCAAAACGUUGGUACAAGUCUACAAAAUACACAUAAAAGCACAUCGACACCCUGAAAGGGAAAUUGUUGAGAAAAUUACAAGUUUGGUCCCUGAACCGAUAAAAUUAAAAUUUAGUCCCUAGACAGGCCAAAUAUUAGUAUAGCUCUUGAAAAGCAUCAGAGCAAUUCAAAUUGUGCCUCGAGGUGGGAAAUUUCAACCUAGGUACUUGAAAAGUGGAAAAUUACCAAAUCAACCCGAAGCGGCGAAUUUGUUUCCUAAGAAUGGAAAGUAGCUAGAGGAAAGUCUCUGCAAUCACCAAUUCAACGAGCGUAGCUCCCAAUUCCAAUGGGCGUAGUUUCCUAAAAUGCAGGCGAAGUCCUCAAACCCAAGCAAUCGAAGUCCUCAAUUCCAAGCAGGUGAAGUUUCUCAAAUUGAAGCAGGCAAAGUCCUCAAACCCUCAGUGAAAUUGGCAAUUCCCAAUGGAGCGAAGUCCUAAGCAAGCGAAGUCUUAACUCAACUGGGCGUGGCCCCAUAUUAAAUCAACAAUCAAAGUUCAAGCUUAUGAAGUAUGGCUUCUACAUCUCACAUAUCCUUUAGUUGUAUCCUUGAUAUCUUUGAUUUGUCUUCAUUUAUUUAACGCAUUUACAUGCUCAUAAAUUUUGAUGAAUCGAGGGCAGCUGUCAGCACACCUUUUCCAGAUACAUAAAUCGAGGGAAAAAAAAGCGGAAAACCCUAUUGAGAGUUAUUGCUUUCUCGAUUCUCGAAAGGCGAAGAAUAUGCAAAUCCAAGGCUAGGCUCGAGGUUAAUCCAGUUGGAAUUAUCUUUUUGUAAUCAAUUUGGACCUAAUUAUUAAAAGAUGACAAUCUUUACAAAAUCAAGGACUAAACUGCAAUUUUUAAAACUUCCUCUAUAGAGCCAAUCGGUUCUUUAUAGGACUGAUUGGAUUUUUGACUCUCCAAUGUCAUUUUUUCGAACGAUUUUACGUCUAGAUACAGAUUCUAGAAGGUCUCAUUGACGAUAAUCAUUGUUUUAUCUAUAAUUAUUCAAAUUUUAAAUAAAUAAAUGGAAUAUUUAUCGAUAUUACCUAGGAUUUUCCCUUUCUCUAGAGUUUCCUUUGAAACUCUACCUCUAUAAAUAAUAAGAGGUGUUUAGGAUUUUAGGAGGAUGAGGCAAGAAUUAAGAUUCGAUCGUGAGUAAAAUUAAGAGAUAAGAAACACUAAGAGAGAAAGAAAAGAGAGAUAAUCAAAAGAAAAUAGAAAGAAUUGCACUGACGAUUGUAAUUAGUAUUCAAGGACUCAAGCCACUUAAGAAAGAGAGAUUUUAGGAAACAAGCCACUUAAGAAAUAGCACUUUUGGAAACCUUAUUUUUUCAAUCGACAGAAGAUUUCCUAAAGUCAGAACCAGCUCUGCAUUCCUACCCAGUUUUUUAUUGAACUGCUUCCUUAUUGCCCGAGACUUCACAGAUCCAACAUACACGAUGACAACCUGAGGGUUUCUACCACCAUACAUCUGCAUUCAUCAUAAAACUGGUUCUUUUAUUCCUUUUUAUCUUUUAUUUGCUUUUUUAUAUUAUUUAUUCUUAGAAGCAUGAUUAGGGUUUCUAUCUUUGAUAAAUAUGAUUAGAUUAUAUUUUCAUUAAUAUGCAUAACAAUAGGAUUUUGAAUCUGAUAUUAAGAACUAGGUUUUUCACAUCUGAUAUUUUUGCCAAUUAGGGUUUUAGAUUUGAUUAAAAACAUGUUAUAGGGUUAAUAUUUAGGUCUUUUGUUAAUAUGAUUUAGUAAUUAAGCCUAAAUAAAACAUGAUUCUUUGCUUUGAUAAUCUUCUGUCAAUUUAUAAGAUUUUAGGAUUUCUUAGUGAUUUAGGUUUUUUAGCUUCUGUAACUUUUAUUUUGUUAUUUUUAUUUAUUUGAUCUCAUUCUAAUUAAUUUUUUAACACCUGUGCAUGUGGAAUCGGCUCUGGAGUGUGAGAUUGAUCUCAUUAAUAAAGAAAAAUCGACAGAACUCUACCCUUGGACCCCAGAGCCGAUCAGUUGUUCAUACAUAACCAAUCGGCUGACCAAGCUAGACCAUAUAUCUUUUGUAUUUUUAGCGUAUUUCAAUAUAUUCUCGGCCUAUGUACAGUUUUAGGCCUUUCUGGUUUUGCAAUCAUAAUUGUAGGCGAGUUGUAAUAGCUAGGGUUUUCUUUUCUGCUUUGUUUUCUUUAUUUGUUUUGUUGUUUAUUGUAUGUCAACCCAAUACAUGAUUAUAUGAUUGAUUAAUUAAAAUGGGUCACAAAGACUUAGGGCUAAAAACUGAUCUAACAAGAAUUUGAUAGUCUAAUCGGUUAAUCCACCUUAACUAGCCAUAAAAACCUAAAAUUCAAUUAGGCUAGCAGGCUUUGGCAUGAUUAGUUAGGGUUUGAACUUAGUUAGGGUUGAGAUCACAAUAAAUGGGCCUUCUUAUAAUAAGUAGUUGAAUAGGCUUAAAGGUUAAAGAGCAUAAUAUGUAACUAGACUAGAAUAGGUGGGCCUCAUACAUAAUUGGUAAGUUAGAUUAAUAACUUAAAAUGAGGGCUAAGCUUGAACAAAAUGGGUUAGACUUAGGUGUAUUGUGUGUUGUUUUCGUAUGCCUGGGUUAAAAUGCUUACAUUUAUAGAGAAUAUUUUUUAAAACAUUAAAUUUAAAGACUAAUAUAUACAGAUAAGGAAGUUAGCUUAUGAAUCCAUCUUUGGACUCUAUGGCUUAAGCUUCCUUAUGGAAUCAAAGAAAAGCCAUUCAUUAGUAAAAGUGUCCUGGUGAUUAUCCGGGUGGGGACUCCCAUCUCUGUGCUAGUCUUAUUAAUUAGUCAGCGUGUUCCCUAUUAGGUUGAAAAGCCUUACAGUGUUGUAGUCGCUAAAGACACUUGGGUGCGGGCUAGAAACUGCCGCCCAUACACACCUUUUUAGAUUUGGAUGUUAGCCUUUUGCCUUUAUGCCCUAUUUUUACUUAUUUCUCCUCAACGAGGGAGAGAUAUCAAAAUUGCUGGUAUUAUUAACCAGGUGGAGCAUGGAGCAAAUCCACUUCCAGUCAUCUUUGUUGAAAGCAUCAUUGGGUUAGACAUGUACAAGACCCAUCAAUGGUUUGGUGGCAGCCUCAUUCUCUUACAAGUACACAACCAAAUCUUCUUUCUUUUAUUAUUUUUAUUAUUCUUUCAUCAUUAAUUUUUUCCUAAGCCGUCCUUUCAGGUUUUUAACUUAGCAGGGGUGGUGGACUCUUCUAGCUUGUUAUAUCGUCCUCAUAAACUCUAGAUGUUAUUACAUUACCAUAAAAAAUAUGAACAAUAUUUUCUUUUAUAAGAGUAGCUAGCUCCUCUCGACUCAUUUUAUCUGGCGAGGUGCUGGACUCUUCUAGCUUCAGCUCCUCUAUCUUGGUGGUGACCUUCUCUAGGAAUUUCUUGAUACUCAUCUAGACCAUUCUGUCGAUGAUCAUAUUCUUGAAGAUCUCAAACCCUGGUACCUCAGUCCUAGCUACAGUAAUAGGUUCGGGCUCCCUAGAGUAGGGCUUGUACUCCUGAACGAAUACGUCUUUUAGAGCCUCCUUUGGUUUACCCUCAUCUUCCUCGUCAGAGUAAUCCAAUCCAUGCCGAGUCUUCUGACCUUUAAAAUUCGGCAGUUUCGCAAUACCUUGCUGAUCCUUUUCCAGCCCCAUUCCAAGCAUAAAGUUCAUUUUCUUGAACAUGCUUGCUACUUUAGGAUCCAUGUAGUCCUCAUAGAGAAUAACAACUUGGAAUCCAAUAAGGGCAUCCAACUCUUUGACAGCUUCUUCGAUAGGCGAGACAACCUUACUACCUUCGGUAUUAAUAGUGACAAUCUCGCCUUCAUGAGGUAACUUUUCCUUCUUAUGCACAAAGGAAGGAUGUCAUAACCGAAUUUUUUUUAAUUAAUAAUUAAUAUUCAUUAGCAUGUCAUUAAACAUGUCAUUUGCAUCAUAAUUAUGUAUGACCUAUUUUAUUAUAUUAUGUGGUAGAUAAAUCAAUUAUUUAGUUACAUUUUGAUUUAAUUGAAAAGUAAUGAUUUAGGACUAAAUUGGAAAGUUAGAAAGAAAGAGGAUUAAAUUGUAAAAUUUCUUAUUUUUACACUGAUUUACCACCUCUUCAUUUCUUCAUUUCUACAUAUACUUCCCAUAGCCUCUUCUUCUUUGUCACUAUUAAUAUCCAUAAAAUAUGAUGUUUUAUGGAUAUUAAAGAUAUGUAUAUUUAUACCUUGUGAUUGAAUUGUAUUUGUAUUGAAUAUGUGAAUAGGUUCGUCCAAAGGUAAGGAAGUGGUAAGAGAAAAAGAAUAAGAUUACUUUAUUAUCCUAUAAAUUUUGGUAAGUAUUUAAUAGACUAAACUUUGUGUAUACUGAAUAGGGACUGCUAUGUUUGAUUACUUGAUAAUCUCUUGGUUGACUGAGUUGGUAUUGAUUAUGUUCUUGGCAUGUUGUGAAGUGAAUUGAUUGUGAUUAAGGAUUGAUGACUCUUGAAUUGAUAUUGUGUGAUCGAGAAAGCUGAGCCGGGCGGAUAGCUACCCGAGUAUGUGAGGUGGCAAGACUGAGCCGGAUGGAUAGUCUUGUUAAAUGGUCACUGAAAUGUGAAAAAUGUGAGGAAAUGUGAGGAUGAGUCAUCUGAUCCUAAUUUGAUGGAAAUAUGUAGAAUUGAAUUAUUGACUUGGUUGAGUUUGAGAUUAUUUGCAUUAUGUGAGAUGAAAUUAUUUGUUUAUGAGAAUAAUUGAAAUGGUUGAUUUUGUGAUUGUCAUUUAAGUGUUGGUAUAAUUUUCUGUAUUUGAUAAAGACUUGAUAAUUCUUGCCUAAUAUACUAUAGUUUAGUAAAUUAAAUGCUUAUUGAGUCGCCAGCUCAUUUCUUAGCAAAUAUUUUCCAGUUUAGUGCAGCUGUAUAUAGCCUUAGCUGUGCAUUGCUCUCUUUGCAUCAGUCAAAAUUAUCAGGUGGGCCAGAGGAGUUAUCUCAAGCAUUAGAACAUUUUGGGUACUUGUGUGAAUUAAACUAAUGUAUAAAUAUUUCUUAUGUAUAUUAAGUAUGUUAUGCCAUUUAAAAUGUAUGAAUGUAUAUUGUAACUAAGUAAUAAAUUAUGUCUAUAAAGUUAAUUGUAUAUAUUGCUACACAAUUGGAUGUUUUGAGUUUGAGUGUUACAAAGGAACUUCUCCUAGGGUAUAGAACCAUGACCUUCCUAAUAACAAUGCAAAAGUUACUAAGAUGUCCAGGACAGUGAACUUCACUCAGGAUCUGAUAGGACCCAUCUUUACCAGUUUUGAGAAUGUUCCUUCCACAUCUCUGUUCAUCUCAUCGUAGGCCCUUAUAACCAUAUCUGAUGGUUUUAGGUCUUUCGCAGUCAUCCCCAGCUUAGAGAGCAUGCAAGAAGGACACACAUUGAUGGCUAACCCAUCAUCCACCAUCACACAUAGGGUUCUCUUCCCUUUGACCUUUGCUACUAUGUAGAGGGCCUUGUUAUGGUCUCUUUCCUCAAGUGGUAGGUUUUCAUUUGAGAAAGUGAUAAUCCCGAUAGUCAUGUCAUUUACUGUUUUAAUCAUUUCCUCGAGAGUAAUUGUUGUGCUAAUGCUUAACUAGACAAGGCCUGAAUUAAAGUCUUUAUGUAGUCCGAUGAGUGCAUCAGUAGCUCCCAAACAUCGUUAUCUUCUUCUAUUUCUUCCACUGCUCUAAUAAUAUAGUAUCCCCAUUUUCAAGGGCUUGUUUAUCUUGCUUCAGCUCUUUUACUAUGACUUCCUUACCUUUACCCACUAGCUCAGUUUCCCUAUCAGAGUCGUUAUCUGCCUAAGUGUCCUUGGCCUUGGUGUCUUUGACUUUAGACUCACCCCUAGAGCUAUACCAAAUGUCGAUAGCCAUGACCGACUUCUUUUCCCUUUCUUUUCAAACCUCUAGAAGAUAAAGCUCACAACCUGCUUGAUCAUUGUCUGAUCCCCAACCACUUGGCAUAAUAUCCUCAAUUUAAAUGUCGGUCGAAUGAGGCCUCAAAUAUCAUACCUUGAAGUCGAAUUUGCAUGAAGGCUGCCCUAGCAGGUCUUCGCACUCAUACCGAGAGAGUUGCUUAGUUCUCCAUUCCCCAAUCAAUCACAUCUUAAAUCUCGUGCUUGAGACGGGUGCACUGGUCUGUCACAUGCUCAAAAUCUUAGUGAUACUUACACUACUAGCAAUUGUGAGGUUUAGGACUGUCCUUUGGCAGUUAGGACUUAAGUCUUUUGGUCCAUUUCAAAUGUUGGAAUACCACAGAUAGUGGCACUCCCAGCUCAGUGAAGGUUCUUUGUUUGUGGCUUGGUUCUGGUUGUGGUAUUGUCAGCACCCAUUUUCCUAAUCUAGAUAUUGAGGAAAUUACAGAAAAUCCUAUGAUGAAAGUUAUUUCCUUCUCGGAUCUCGAGAGAUAAAGGAUAAGUGAAUUCGAGGUUAGGAUUGAGGUUAAUCUAACUAAAAUUAUCUUUUUAAAAUCAACUUGUAGUUAAUUAUCAAGAAAAAUAAAGUUUGAGGGUUAAAAUGAUAAAUUUCACAAAGUUCAGGGACUUAAUUGCAAACUUUUAUACAACUUUUCAUGUAUAGAGCCAAUCGGCUUUGCAUAGAGCUGAUUGCCUCAUCAUAGAGCCAAUCAACUUUGUGUAGAGCCGACCAGCUCUACACAGUACUGAUUAGGGUUUUCUCUUUUGACAUUGUUUUUUCUUUAUGCUUUUACGUCCAGAUACAGAUUCUACAAGAGAUUUGAUAUAUAUCGAUUCUUUUUUCUUUUUUGAAAAUUUGAAGAUUAUCUGUUCCUCUAAGGUUUCCUUAGAAACCCUACCUCUAUAAAUAGAAAAAUCCUAGGGUUGAGGGAAGAGGAGAGAAUAUUAAUAUCGAUUUGAGAAAACAAAAAAAAAUUACAUUCAUUACUAGGCAGAAGGGUUUUGGUCACUAAAAAAGAAGGCCAUUAAAGAAAGAAUUGAUUUUUGGAAACCCUUUUUUGAAGUCGACAGAAGCUUUCCCAAUACCACAUUCAGCAUUGGAUCCUCAACCAACCUUUGAUUCAACUGCUUCUUCAUCUAUUGAGACUAGCAAAACCCUACAGUGACAACUUGACGGUUCCUCUAACAUGUAUGUAUCCUUGUAUAUGUAUCACUAACCUGUAACAGAAAAAUAAAAAGGGUUCAAAAUGAAAUAAAGCGCUCGAACUACACUUCAGUUUACCUUCCGAAGUGGAAGAUGCAUCAGUUUACUUCUCGAACCAAAAGUUUAUCAGUUUACUUCGAAGCGGAGAUUAUCAAGAUUACUUUCUGAGUUGAAGAUCAUUAAUUUAUGUCCCAAAGUGGAAUAAUCAUCAUCUUAGAGUAGAAUACAAUCAGUGAAAGAUCAUCAAUUUACUUUCUGAACUGAAAGCUCACCGGCCUAUUUUCUAAAAGUAGAGAAUCAGUUUGAGUUUUGAAGAAUUAACACACAUUCCAAAGCAAAAGUUAUCCAAUAGAGUAAAGUACAUACCAAAUCACAACCUGAAGCGAAAAUUACAAUAUAAUUAUAUCCCAAAGUGCAAAGUAAUCAAAAAGCUAGAGGGAAGUCUUCGCAAGUACAAAUCAGAUAGAUGUGUCUCCUAAAUCAGACGGGCAUGGUUCCCAAAUCAGACAGGUGUAGUUUCCAAAUCAUUAGGCAUGGCUCUUAAAUUGGAUAGGCGUGGUUCCUAAAUCAAACGGGCAUGGUUCCCAAAUAAGAUGGCAUGGUUCCUAGAUCAUCGGGCGUGGUUCCAAAACCAUCAGGUGUGGUUCCCAAAUCGAUAAGCAUGGUCCACAAAUUGGCAGGCAAAGUCCUCGAAAAUUCAAGAAGGCAUAGUCCUCAAAACUCAAGCAAGCGUGGUCCCCAUAUCAAAUCAAUAAUCUCUAGUUCGAGCUUAUGGGGCAUGACUUCUACAGCUCAUCAGAAUAUCCUUUUACCGUUUAUGCUUUGUCUCGAUUUAUUUAAAGUUCAUUUGCAUAAAUCUCAACAAACUAGGGGUAGUUGUCAUCACCCACUUUUCGGAUCUAGAUAUCAAGAAAAUUAUGAAAAAACCCUAUGAUGAAAGUUACUGCCUUCUCGAGUCCUGAGAGACGAAGGAUAGGCGAAUCCGAAGUUAGGGUUGAGGCUAAUCUAAUCAAAAUUACCUUUUCAAAAUCAAUAUGGAGUUAAUUAUCAAGAACAAUAAAGUUUGAGGGUUAAAAUGAUGAAUUUCACAAAGUUGAAGGACUUAAUUACAAAUUGUUGCAAAACUUUCAAUGUAUAGAGCCAAUCGGCUCUACACAGAGUCGAUCAGCACUACACAGUACCGAUUAGGGUUUUCUCUUUCGACGUCAUUUUUUCUUUACGCUUUUACGUCCAAAUACAGAUUCUAGAAGGUAUUUGACGAUAAUCAUGGAUUUUUAAUGAUAUUUAUUCAAAUUUUAAAGAAUUAAUAUUGGAUAUUUAUCAAUUAUUUUUUUAGAAAUUUAAAGAUUAUAUAUUCCUCUAGGGUUUCCUUAGAAACCCUACCUCUAUAAAUAGAAAAAGAUCCUAAGGUUAAGGGAAGAGGAGAGAAUAUUAACAAAAGCUAAUAUCGAUUUGAGGAAAGAGAAAAAAAAUUACAUUCAUUAUCAGGCAGAAGGGUUUUGUCACUAAGAAAGAAGGCCACUAAAGAAAGAAUUGAUUUUUGGAAACCCUUUUUUAACGUCGACAGAAGCUUUUCCAAUACCACAUCCAGCACUAGAUUCUUAAAUAAUCUUUUAUUCAACUACUUCUUCAUAUCUUAAGACUAGUAGAAUCAUAAACUACGGUGACAACCUGAGGGUUCCUCCAACAUGCAUCCAUCAUCAUUAACGUCACUCUAAACUGGUUUUCUUAUUUUUUUUUUGUGUUUUUUUCUUAGAAACAUUAUUAGGGUUACAUUUUUAUUUUAUUUUUAUGAUUAAUAUGAUUAGAUUAGGGUUUCCCAUGAAUCUUCAUGUUACUGAUUUAUUAGAUUUUAGAAUCUGAUAAUAAGAACAUUAAGGUUUUGAAUCUGCCAGCAUUAGGGUUUUGAAUUGGAUUAAUCACAUGCAUAGGAUUAUAUGAUUAGAUUUCUAUUUUUCAUUAUGAUUUUGUUACUAAAUUAGCUUAUUAGGGUUAUAUGGUUAAUCCUUGUUGGGCUACUGAUGCAACCUACACCUAAGGCAGUGAACCUAUCAAUGUGGCCUAGCAUUAGUGAGUAUCAAGGUCGUGUCCCUGAAGAUCGGGUGAACCUAGAGUUACUAAUGUUCGCUAUGUUAUCUAGUCUGAAAUAGGGUGUGCGAAGUCUAAAUUAACUAACUAAUGACUAUGAAUGCAAAUAAAUAAAUGAACAUCAACUAACAAUCAAAAGACAACUGCAACAAGAGAAACAAACCCAAAUGGGACCUAAGUGAUGGAAUUCUAAGGUUGAUUUUAUAAAUUACCAAUCUUGCUUACCCGUGCCUAAAUCCUGAAUCGAACUCGGUUCCUUUCUCGAGCUCACCGAGUUCCUAAACCUGCACUAACCUAAUGGAAUCUCUUCCUAUCAAAUUAUUACUAAUUAGCAUUAAGCGUGAUUUAGAACUAUUAAGAGUUGUUAAUUCUUAAUCCGGUGAGUAAAUUAACCUUAUCUCCAAGUGUUAACUACCAGUUCUUACUAUUCAAAUUCUAGUUAUAACAAGCAUUUCUCAAUGUCAAGAAACAACCCAAAAGACAAUUAAUUCAACGUCUCAAAUUAACUGAAUCAAACUUUAUUACUAAAUAGCAAGGAGACUACAAGAAUGGUAAAUAAAAAUCUAAUAAACUAAGCACAAUCCAUCAACAAAGGUGAACCCUAAUGGGUUCGGUAGCCCUAGUUACUCAUAAUGAAAGAAACAAAUACAAAAGGAAAUAGACAACAGAAAAGGAAAUGGAACAUGUAACCCCUUUUCUCUCGAAUCGGAGUGGAAAUGUUGCAAGCACCAACUCUGAAACCAGCCUCAAGUAUGGAUCUCGAAUGUCUCGAUCAAUCGUCUAGAACCUUCAAUCUUUGCUUGAAUCUCUCAAAUCAAUCCUUUGAAAUGAUGUUGGUCUCCCAAAAUGUCAAGAACAGAGGUGUAGAAGUGGAGGGUCGCACGCGUAGAGAAGUCCAGAAGUCAGAAGCGGAACCCUGUCUCAUUUUUCAUGCGACUACUUAUAGGUAGAGCUGCCAUAGCCCGUUCCAGGGCCCAUGCCACGGCCCAUGCAACGGGCAUCAACAUCUAAAAAAAAUGCCAAUCUUCAAAAUUGUCCAAGGUAGGCCGUGCAACGGCCCGUGCAAAAGCCUCGAAAUGCGUGCCAAUAAGGAAUCGAAUAUGAUAAACAUCUAAUAUGCGUAAAUCAUCCAAAUAGCUUGGUUUUAGCCCGGGAAUCAAUUAAUUUUCCAUCAAGGAGUCUGAAAACCUGAAAAACUCAUAAACAUACCAAAGUGCGAUCAAACAGGAAUAAAUAUGAGUCAAAUACAUGAAUAAACUAAUGAUAAAUAGUCAAUAAACAUGCAUAGAAUCAUCUAUAUCAAUCUGCAAUUCUUAUUCAUUGUGUUUUCAAUUUUUAGGGNNNGCUAGGUUUUAUGACUGUGUUUGCAAUUUUAGUCAUAGGCUGGGUUGUAAUAGUUAGAUUUAUUUUUCUGCUCUUUUUUAUUUCUUGAUUUCAUGUAUGUUGAAUAAUUGUAACAUAACUGCCUAAUUAAAAAAUAGACAUAUAGAAUUUAGGUUAAAAUUGGACCCAACAUGAAAAAUGUAGUCCAUUACCAUGUCUUUAGUUAGGAUUAGGCUAUAUUAGAAUUAGGUUCACACAAAACGGGUCUUAUCAUAAUAAGUAGUCUGUUAGGCUUAAAGGUUGGAAGUUAAAGCAUAUCUUGUAAUUAGGCUAGACUAAGUGGACUUUAUACAUAAUUAAUUAGUAAGUUACGUUAAUAACUUGGAGUAUGGGCUAGACUUAGGUGGACUUCACAUGUUACAAUAGUUGAUAUGUAGAAAUAACUUGUUAAAUAAUAAAACUAAAGACAGAUAUACACAAAUAAGGAAGUUGGCUUUUGGAUCCAUCUCUAGAUUUGUGACAUAAGCUUCCUUAUGGAAUCGAGAAACGUCAAUCAUUAGUAAAAGUGUCUCGGUUACCGAGGUAGCGACUCCCAUCUUUGUGCUAGUCCAUGUGACUAGUUAGCGUGUUUUCGAUUAGGUUGAAAAGUCUUGCAGUGCCAUAAUCACUAAAGACACUUAGGUGCAUGCUCGAAACCGCCGCCCACAGGUAUGUCUUCAAAAGAGUUCAUGAUAUCCUCUUCGCUAAAGUCAGGGUUGAUCAUGGACACUUGGUUUAGGAGUAAUGUGUUGUUGUAGUUUGGUAAGGGAUUUCUUCUAGUGCUAGGUUGCUCAGUGUCGGUCAGUUUUUCGGCAUCGAUAAGGUCUUGAGUUUCAUGCUUCAAAAGGAUACAAUUAUCAGUAUGGUGGCCGGGUGCUUGGUAAAAUUUGUAGUAGGUGUUGGGUUUAUAACCGAGUGCAUUAAAGUUAGGUGGAUUUUUAAGGAUAGUAGGUUGGAGCAUGCUAUUUUGUACUAACCUCUCGAAGAUCUUAGAGAGAGGUUGCUUAAAGUUGGAGAACUUUAUCGGUUAUUGCACAACAUUCACAUCUAGGGUCCUGCUCCCUUCACCUUGGUAAUUCACCCUACUACCAAUUCUCACAGUCUUUCUUUUAUCAUUUUCGAUAUCCUCGACCUUUAGGCCAUCAUCGUACAAAUCCAUGGACAUCCUUGGGUACAUCAUCCGUAACUUUUUCAACCCAUCCUGGAAGAAUAUUUCGGACCACCAUACGAACUUGGUCCUUUUUAAAGGGCUUGUUCUUCAUUAAUCCGACCUUAUUCCUUCAUUUGGUCAAGAAAUCAAAGAAGGACUCAUUUUGCUUUUGCUUGGUGGACUUUAAAUCCCUAAUUGAUACUUUCAAAUGAGUAUUAUAAUCAUAUUGUUUGACAAAAGAAUUACAUAAAUCAUGGUAUUCAGCCUAGGCGGAUUUUUCUAGACCAUGGUACUAAUUUACAAUGGGUCCUUUGAUGUGCGUAAAAUACACACAUCUAAAUGGGGUUUUUAAGAUUGAUUUUAUGGACAUUUGGAUGUGAAUUGGUCUCAACACUCACCCUAUACGUAUGUUUGUGUGCAUUAGGUCUAAAAGAGGUCAAAGGAUGAUAAAGGAAAGAAUUAGAGCAUAAUUAGAUGUCAAAGCUGCUGAAACGAGCUAAGUAUGCCCAUGCAGAAGGUUAACACGGCCGUGUUGGAUUCAACACUGGCCGUGUUACCAACACGGCCACCAACACGGCCGUGUUGGAUGCGUCAAACAUGAAAGAAAAAGAAGCUUUUAGGGAGCACGACCACAAAGAGUAACACGGCCAGGAACACCAGCCCGUGUCCCUAACACGGCCAGGGAUACGGCCGUGUUAGAGGCGACAGGGGGUAUUAAUUAAAAGAAUGAAGAGAGGAAAAAAAGAAGGAGACUAGGGUUAGAACGUCCCAAACCCUAAUAUUUCUCUCUCUAAGGGUUUUCUGAGCUAAAACCAAGAGAAAAGGAGACUUGGAUCAAGGUUUCAAUCGGAUUCCCUUUAAAGAUUGAAGAUUGGGCGAGGUUCGUUGAUUGGUUUUCAAAUUGAGCAAGAGAAACAAGGAUCGAUUCAAGAUUGAGCAAGAGGAAUUAGGGCUGUUUACUCUCAUCCAAAGGAGUAAUCGGAUUUUUUUCUACCUUUACUCAUUUUUUUGUAAUUGAAUUCUUGUGGAUUUUGAUAAUGAACAUGAUUAGCUAGAUUGAUUUAAUCCAUUGGGAUUUCUUUACUAUGUUGGCUUGAUAUUAUAUUGUUGGAUUGCUUGGGUUAAUUUUGUAUUCUUCUUGCUUUCAGUAUUAAUAAGAUAAUGCAUUAUUCAUGAGACGUUGUGAAUUGUGUGUUUAGAUUGCUUUGUGUGAUUGAGAAGUCCAUUUGGCAAUUGGAAUUUUGAAUAGCAAGAACUGGUUAAUAAUCGCUUAGAGAUAAGGAUAAUUAACUAGCCAGAUUAAGAAUUAACAAAGGUUAAUAGAGGCGGAUUAAAGCUUAAUGCUAAUUUAAGAAUCAAUCGUUAUGAAGAGAUUCCAACUUUAGGUUAUUAGGUUUAGGAAUUCGGUUAUCUCGACAGAAAAAUCGAAUUUGGUUAAGAAUUCAUCCACGGGUAGCAUAAUUAGACUUACUGAUCCUUUAUCUUUUGUUUGAUUGCCAAUUAGUUUAGAUUCCCUUUGGGUUUGUCUUCUUGUCUUGAUUAUUUCAUUUAUCAAUUACUCUUGCAUCUUCCUUAGAACUUAGCUUGUAGCUAUUAGUUAGUUUAGAAAUUAUUUAUCGCUAAUUUUAGGUUAAUAUAACAAAGAACAAAGGAGCAACUCUGGGCUUUCACUUUCCCGAGGAAUACGACCUUGAUACUCGCCAUUAGUGCUAGAUUGCAUAGAUAGGUAUACUGCCUUAUAUUGUAGCUAACACGAGUAGCACCCAUCAAGUUUUUAGCACCGUUGCAGGGGAAAUUGUUUGAAAACUAGAGUGAAAUUUGCUAUUUGUUAAUUUAGCCAUUUUUUUCUUUUUUAUUAUUUUAUGAUUUUUAUUUUUAUUUGUUUAUUUAUUUUAUUUUAUUUGUACAUAUUUAUUUAGUUUAAGUUUAUGAUUCAGAUAGUGAAUGAUAAGGAGGUUCAAUGCUAAACUCAAACUCUUUGUAUGACGCAUUGGAAAAUGGGAUUAGGAACCAAGAGAGUUCUAAAAAUUGGGAUACCCGUGCAUCUUUAGAAGCUCGAGUGGAAUCGUUUUGCAGGGCUACCGAUCAACUCUCCACUCCUAUCCUUUCAUCUCAAGUUUUUUAUGAAUUUUGUUGUGGUUUACAUUUGAGUAAUUAUUAUCCAUUAUAUAGUGAUGUUGCUCAUUGUUCUUAUAACUCUGAACAGGUGAAUUAUACGGGAAGUUGGCCAAAUGACUCGUAUGGAAGCACCUACAAUCAAGAAUGGAGUAUUCAUUCACCCUUUGGAUGGAGCUUAGAUGGCCCAGAACCACCAGAAUCUCAGCAACCACAUCAGCAGCCUAAUCUUGCACCUUCAACUUAAGAUGAAGAGUUAGUGUCGGAGGAGCUGAUGAUGAGGUUCAUUACAAUUCUUGAUGAUAGAUUCCAACAAACAGAGAGGAUACUUGAAGAUCAACAAGCCUCGAUUAAGAACAUAGAGCAUCAAGUAGGCUUAAUCUUCAAGUUACUAGCUGAAGAGCAAUUGGGAACUCCAUCAAACGCUACUGAAUCCGAGGAGCAUUUGAGCGCCAUCACUUUGCAUUCAGGUGAGAAUUUUUCUGGUUUAUCUACUAUGUUUGACGAUGAUGCUUCUGUGUAGGACGAUUUCUUGAACAUGGAGAUAGAACCAGAAAAGGAAGAGGCAAACAUGAUUCCUCUGAAAGACUAUCAACAGGAAUGUACAGUUGAUGAUGUUGAGUUGCAGUUAGAGGAAUUGUUGGUAGAUUUUCCACAAGUCCCUUCGAUGAUGGAAGAUGAGCAUGAGUUAUCCAAUGAAGAAGUCUUGGAGGAGCUCGAGUUUCUUCUAGCAAGUGAACCAAGCCAGGGACUGAAGAAAACCAUCGACACUCCUGAAGAAAUUGCCCAACCAUCGAUCCUUCCAAUUGUUGAAACUCCAGCUUUCAAAUUGGAAGAGCCCCUAUAGCAUCAUGACUACGUUCAAUUAUACGAGGAGCGAGUGUUGCCCAUCAUAUUAGCAGCUUGCUUGACAGUCGGGAAGAGGAAGUCGACGAUUAUCCCUUUUAGCGGAUACUUGAAGCCAUUUGCUUGGAAGAAGGAUGGAUGGUCGUCAAUCCCCACCAUUUGCUUUUCACCAUGAGUCCAGCUAAGAAGACUCAUCACAUAAAAAAGAAGCGCUUUUGGGAGGCACUCCAAAUUUUAUUUCUUUUUCAUUUUUAAUUUUUUUUUACCUUUCAUUUUGAAACAUUUUAUUAGUUUUAGUCUUCAUAUUUUAUUUAAUUUUUAUUUCAGUUUCGAUUUUAAUUCCUUAUUUUAUUAUUUGCAGCCACUCCUCUACUAUAGACUAGCCAGCGCCCUGAUAUCCCUAAUGAUGCACCUCUUUUCACUCUGGAGCCAUAGUCAGGGCAGUAUUAGUUCUUUUCCCUUUUGCAUUUCUUAUAUUUUAUACACUGAGGACAGUGUGUCCUUCAAGUGUGGGGUGGGUGAUAUUUAUCCCAUCUUAAUUAUUUGUUUUUUCUUUGUGCAAUUUCUUUAUAAAAUUUUGAAAAAUUUUCACUUUGUUUCGAUGCUCUUACUGUUGACUUGCUUUUGAAAUCCUGUUUAUGUCCAUGUGAUCGGGUAAAACCGAUAGUGUUGAGUUUUGCGGAAGAAUGUAAGAUAAUUAGUUUGAGUUUUGCACUAAGUUGCUUUACUUUAUUUAAUUCUGUUUUGAUGAUUUUUGUUUGGAACCUACUCAAAAGCACACUUGUGAGAAAUUGAGCCUAAAUUGUAAGCAUACACUUUAUAUGCUUGUAUUUAUUUCUUGUUGAGAGUGCCGAUUACUGUCUUUACUUUUAGAACUUGCUCGGUAAUGCUUAUAAGGACCACAAGGAGAAUUUAACAGUUUGGUAUGAUAGAGGCACUUAGGUUUUUCAUUCUAGCCAAAUAGCCUUCAUUCGUUUAUUGAGUCUGUAGAUAACCCCUUCUUUCACCAUUUCUUUUAUCAUAUUCCAUUACUACUUAGUUUUAUUCUGCUUUGGGUUAUGAUUGUGCAUAUGAGUUGUUUUUAUUGGGAAUUUUUAUCUUGGGAAUAGCGUUGGAAUCUUGUAGCAGCUUACUUCAAUCCAAAAAGAAAUUCACUCUAUUAUGUGAAUGUUCUUCCCUUAUGAAAAAAAAGAGAAAGAAGAAAAAGAAAAGAAAAGAAAAAAAGAAUAAGAGGGAAAAGUGAUGAAAAGAAAGAAAGUAAGUGAGCUAAACAUUUUGACUUGAUUCCUAUUUCCCUUGGACUACUGUCCAUUGUUUACCCCUUGUGAUCAUUGUGACUUGUGUGCAGGUCAUGUAUUUCAUUGCAGAACACCAUAGGUUCAACUCUGACCAAAUUUACCUACCCUUACCUAAUCCCCAUUACAACCCUUAUAAAGACCUCUUGACAUGGUUGUUGACUCUCCAUAAGUGGUAGGAGUAGGAUUUAAGAGCAAGCAUAUAGUAAGUAAGGCAGUAGUUAAUGCAUUGAGUGAUUAAACACUACCCUUUAAACACUUUGAGUGAUUUAGAGUGAAUCUGGUGAGGAGUUGGUUCUGAAUAAUUUUGUUGAGACAGUAUUGUAUGAAUUAUUGGCAUCUCGGUUGUGAUACUUGAAUUGAUUGCUUCUUUGUUUGACUUACGCUUGUUAAGGAUAUGUGCAGGAGCUCUCUAGCUUGUCUGUCAGUUUAAGUAUUGUUCCUUAGUGGUUUAUUUUCCUUAUUUUACUUUUGAUUGCUUGAGGAUAAGCAAUGAGCUAAGUGUGGGGUUAUUUGAUGUGCGUAAAAUACACACAUCUAAAUGGGGUUUUUAAGAUUGAUUUUAUGGACAUUUGGAUGUGAAUUGGUAUCAACACUCACCCUAUACGUAUGUUUGUGUGCAUUAGGUCCAAAAGAGGUCAAAGGAUGAUAAAGAAAAUAAUUGGAGCAUAAUUGGACGUCAAAGCUGCCGAAACGAGCUAAGUAUGCCCAUGCGGAAGGUUAACACGGCCGUGUUGGAUUCAACACUGACACGGCCACCAACACGGCCGUGUUGGAUGCGUCAAACAUGAAAGAAAAAGAAGCUUUUAGGGAGCAUGGCCACAGAGAGUAACACAGCCAGGACCACCAGCCCGUGUCCCCAACACGGCCGUGUUGGAGGCGACAGGGGGUAUUAAUUAAAAGAACGAAGAGAGGAAAAAAAGAAGGAGGCUAGGGUUAGAACGUCCCAAACCCUAAUAUUUCUCUCUCUAAGGGUUUUCUGAGCUGAAACCAAGAGAAAAGGAGACUUGGAUCAAGGUUUCAAUCGGAUUCCCUUUAAAGAUUGAAGAUUGGGUGAGGUUCGUUGAUUGGUUUUCAAAUCGAGCAAGAGAAACAAGGAUCGAUUCAAGAUUGAGCAAGAGGAAUUGGGGCUGUUUACUCUCAUCUAAGGGAGUAAUCGGGUUUUUUUCUACCUUUACUCAUUUUUUUGUAAUUGAAUUCUUGUGGAUUUUGAUAAUGAACAUGAUUAGCUAGAUUGAUUUAAUCCAUUGGGAUUUCUUUACUAUGUUGGCUUGAUAUUAUAUUGUUGGAUUGCUUGGGUUAAUUUUGUAUUCUUCUUGGGUUCUUCAAGAGACAACACAAAUAGCUUGACAAUUUAGGUUCUGCUUAGCUGAGUAGUUCCCAUGAUUGUUACAUACUGUUUCAUAUGAACUUUUGGAUCACUAGUCCCAUUGAACUUGUUCAUCUCGGGCAUUCUGAACUUCACAGGCAGCUUGUUUUCACCUGUGAAAACCAGCUUUAAUUUCCAACAUGCCUUGCAUCUUGUCAAGCCUAGCGCUCAAGCCACUCACAGCUNNNUUGGCUCCUCAGUAUUGGCAUUAGCAACAGUAGUAGUAGUAGCUGCAGUGGUAGCAGGAGUCUCAGCGGCAACUACAGCCGGGUCAAUAAAAAUAAAGGAAUCAGCUGGUGCAAUUGGAGUAGCAGGUGGGCUUGGUUUGCAGCCAUCCUAACCAAAAGUCAUUGGAGCUCUUCCCGAAUCACACCCCUCAAAUCAUCAAUGACGACAUUCUUAAGGAUUUCAACGUCUUCCAUGUUAACUCUCUCGUUGGCCAUUUCAAAAGUACCUUCAGUAGCUUGGCACCUUGGUUUUUCAAGAUGCUCUAGUAUAACCCGAAUUCUCGGAGAAAUGGGUACUCUUCCCAACCUCCCAAUAUCUUGCCUCUUUCAAUCCACUAGAGAAUCUAUAUGGCUAAACAAACAAGGAUUAGUAUAAUGCAUGUGAUGCAUGAGAUGCAUGAUGCACGUGUAAUGCACAAAGACAGAAAAAAGGAAAGGGUUAGCACACACAAUAAUAUAAAAUUCAUCCUUCCAACCUUAUUACUCUUGCACAUUGUCCAUGGUGAGUCUUUUUUCCAUGGGACUUUAGGUCUGGGCUUCAUACCAACAAGGGAUAGUAAGUCCGACGCGCAUGCCAUAAUCUUUCAAAGCAGAUUUAAAAUAAACAAGAUAAUGUUUUUCAGUGUAAGUAUAAGCCUGUAUAUUUUGGCUUAGGGCAUGGAUUCACAUAUUUUGAGCCAAGACCUUUAAUACUUGGGCUUUAUACACUUGUAAGGAAAAACAUUUCAUACAGCAAGCAAUAGGGUUCCUAAAGGAGAUUAUUACUAUCAUUACCAUGAGCUGAUUCUUGGGUGAGGAUAAAAAGCUUCCACAAGUAAAAAGUGGUCUUUCUUGGCUCGUCUCCCCACUCAAAGGUCCAUGCGAUGAAAGAAAUUCACUCAUUACUUGUGAGUGAUAGUUAGCCAGUGUCACAAUUCUAGGGUUCGAGUGGAACCAAAGAACCAUUAACCGACGCCAUCGGGGUUAUAAGGACUAAAGUGCACAACAUAUGAAAAUGGUUUAGUGAUGUAAGAAUGAUCUAUUAAAUAAUAAAAUUAAAGACAAACAUGCAUUGGAAUCAAUUUCUCUUAUCCCUAGAGGAGUUGCUAUUGUGGGCAGCAGUUUCGAGUGCACACCAUGUGUCUUUAGCGACUACGGUACUGCAAGGCUUUUCAACCUAAUUGGGAAUACGCUAACUAGUCAUUGAGACUAGCGUGGAGAUGGAAGUCACCACUCGGAUAAUUCUCUAGGACACCUUUACUAAUGAGUGACAUUUCUCAUAUUCCAUAAGGAAGCUUAUGCCACAAAUUUAGAGAUGGAUCCUGAAGCCAACUUCCUUAUUUGUGUAUUUUAGUCUUUAAUUUUAUUGUUUAAUAUAUCAUUCCCUAUAAACACAGCAAUUCAUAUACAAGCAUACCAAAUAACACAUAUAGUUCACUUAAGCCUAGCCCAUUUUAUUAAGCCUAACCCACAUUAAGGUUAUUAAUCUAACUUGCUAGUUAAUUAUAUACAAGUCCUUCUUAGUCUAAUCCAAUUAUAAGUUAUGUUUUACCAAGCCUUUAUUCCUAUAUGGACUACUUAUUAUGAUAAGACCCAAUUGUGUGAAUCUAAUUCUAAUAUGGCCCAAUCCUAACUAAAAUAUGGUGAAGCCCACUAAGUCUACUUUGAUUUUAGAACUUAAGCCCAAUUAAUAUUGAUUAGCCUAAUGAACUACAAUUUUCAUAUUGGUUUCAUUUUAACCUAAAGUCCAUAAUGUCCCAUUUUAAUGAAGCAAUCAUGUUGCAGUUAUUUGACAUACAUUAAACCAGAAAUAAAUAAAAAUAAAGUGCAUAAAAUAAAUCUAGCUAUUACAACCCAUCCUACAACUAAAAAUGCAAAGAAAAGGCUAAAAACUAAGUUACAAUACACAAAAUCACCAAAAAUACAUCAAAACUUGUAAAAUCCAAACAUCAAGGCUGAGGGGAGCUAAGCCGAUAUAGCCAUCAGCUCAAGGCAUAGAGCCGAUCGGCUCAACCAGAACCAAUUGGCUCUACACUGAGGUGAUCGACUCUAGGCUUCUCCAGGCUGGUUUCUUCAAUUUCUUUGCAAUUCUCACGUCCUAAAACUAAUUUCACAUACAUUGAAGGUAAAAAAUUAAUUAGAAAACGAAAAAGAUAAAAUAAAAGAUAUAAAUAACAUCAGAUUAAACCAAAAACUCUGAAGAUUAUGCAAACCCUAUAAGGCUAAAUAUACAGUGAACAAACAUGGAAGAUUAAUCAUAUAAUCCUAAUUAUGUGACUAAUCAUAUUCAAAAUCCAAAGAAAUAUUAAUAUAUUCAAAACCCUAGUGUUUUUAUUAUCAGAUUCAAACCCUAGUAUUCUUAUUAUCAUAUUCAAACCUAAUACAAUCAGUAAUAUAUUACAAUCCAUAAGAAACCCUAAUCUAAUUGUGUCAAACAUGAAAAUAAGACAUAAAAGAAAUCCUAAUCAUGUUUCUAAAAAUAAUGAACAGGAAAACCAAUUUAAUGGGAGAGUGAUGUUGAUGAUGAUGAUGAUGAUGAUGAUAGCUUAGUUUGUGUCGCUUUCUUUUAUUUUUACUUUAUAUUUUUUUAUCUAUAAUUUGAUGGAUAAAUGCCUGCUUAUGUGAUUGAUAACUAAAAAAGGCAUAUCUAGACCUAGAGUUUUAAAUUGAACCUUGGCAUAUAAUUUGUAGCACAUUAGAUUAAAUUGAGCCUAAAAUAUAAAGUCCAAUUAGACUUAAGUGAGCUUUCCCAUGCUUAAUAAAAUGAACUGAACCUUUUAGACUUAAAAAUAUUAAAACAGGCCUUGGCAUGUAAUAUGUAGUCUAUUUAGGAUUAAUACUUUGUAACUAGAACAUUACUUAUAAUUGAGCUAGACUAAGCAGGCUUUUUUUAUAUAAUUAAAUAGCUAAUUAGGUUAAUCAAAUAAACGAAGAAUUGAGUUAAGCUUAAUAAAUUGGGCUGGGACUCGGUAGAUUUAACAUGUUGCAUUGCUUGAUGUGUAAAAUUAUUAUGCUGCAUUUAUAGAAAAUAUGUUAUUAAUUAAUAAAAUUAAAAGUAUAGAUAUAGAAAUAAGGAAGCUGACUUCUAAAUCCAUCUCUAAAUGCAUGAAUGUUUUCUUAUAGAAUCUAGUAUACCAUUCAAUUAGAAAAGUGUCCUGGUGAUUUACUUGGGUGGUGACUUCCUUUUCUCUGUCCUAGUUUACGUAGCUAGUUAGCGUGUUUUCCAUAUAGUUAAAAAGCCUUGUAGUGCAUAAUUGCUAAAUACACUUAGGUGCAUGCCCGAGACUGCUUCCCACAGUAAUUUUAUAGGAACUGAAUCUAUUUUAUGAAAGAAAUAAUAUGAUAUACAUAAGAGAUGAUACCAAAUUUUAGUAAAAUAAAUUAAAGAAAAUUAAUAGAAUGAUAAAAAAUAAGUUUAGACUUAGAAAAUGAUUUAGAAAUAAAGAAUCUAAAUCUUGCAUAUAUAUGAAUUAUAAAAUUAAAUGCUCAAAAGCUAUAUGGGUGGAGAAGUUAGCGAAUUUUGGUGGAAGCUAUAUUUAGUCUUGAUUCUGCAUACCAAAUGAGUGGAUAAUUUAUAAUGUUAUAGUUCUUAUAUAUAUAUAUAUUUUAUUUAUGAUUUAAUUGAAAUAUUUUAUUAAGGAAAUUAUUUUUAGUAUUAAAUUAAUUUAGAGAUUUUAUUAUUUUAUAUAGACUUUAGAACUACGAUAUUUUACUUUUGAUUAUAUAAAAAAGAAAUAGUUCGAUGAAUCGGUAUACAUUCAUUUUUAUGAUAUAUGUGAUUACGCCUUGAACGUUAAGUGUUAACUAAGAUAUAAUACUAUCUUUCAGAUAUUGUUUAAUUACAUAUUAUCUUUAGGACGUAUAUUAGGUAGUUGUCUUUUGAAGACACUCAUCUUUACGAAUCUCAUGAAUUCACACUUUGAACGACUGAGUGAGAUGUCUUUAUGCCUUUUACUAAUAGGAAUUAGUAAAGUAUAUUCAUAAGUGUAGAUAAAAAUAUUUUCUUGAUUUUAUUUAAAUUAUGAAUGUAUGAAUAAAUAAACAUACAGUUAGAAAUAUAAAAAUAUUAUUAUUCAUUGCAUAUAGAGUUUUGUGGUGUUAGUUUCUAAUCAGAAAAAUGAAAUUGAGCAAUUGGGCCAGUUUGGGAAGCCACGUCAGCAUUUUUCGUCAUCUUUCUUCCCUAGAGAAUAUUUUAUAAAAAAAAUUGAAAUCAUGAGUAUUUCAUAGCAAACUCUGAAAGCAUUAAUAACAUUGUUGAACUUUUGAAAGUUCAGGUAUUUUGUGGUAAUUAGGCCAAAAGCAAUGCACUUAAACUUAUUCGGUAUUUAACUUCUCCUUUCUCUCCCAAACAAGACAAAGGUUACUUUAGCCACAAAACCCUCGAAGUUGCAGAGUGAAGAAAGCAUGAAACUGAGGUACGCAAUGGUGUGUUCUUCGAAUCAGAAUAGAAGCAUGGAGGCUCACUCUCUUCUAAAGAUGCAAGGGUUUGAUGUGUCUUCGUAUGGAACAGGGGCUCACGUGAAGCUCCCUGGACCUUCCCUCAGAGAACCAAACGUCUACGAUUUUGGAACCCCUUACAAGCAAAUGUUUGAUGAUCUCAGGCGCAAAGACCCUGACCUGUAUAUUUUCUUCUUUCUUCCUCUGUCUUUUUUUUAAUAAAACUCUUUUUAUCUAAUUUUGCUUGAUGGGUUAAUUUGAAGAGUGCAGUUACAAGAGAAAUGGAAUAUUGCCGAUGCUUAAAAGGAAUUCAUCUGUGAAAUUGGCUCCUCAACGUUGGCAAGAUAAUGCUGCUGAUGGCUCAUUCGAUGUGGUUUUCUCAUUUGAAGAAAAGGUUUUCGAUAUGGUUAUCGAGGGUAAUUCCAUCUUCUCUUUUCGAUUUCGUUGCUUAUUGUUGGAGUAUUGGAUAAGUCUAUGUCCUUUGCUUAUAAAUUUGACGAUUAAUUUAAUUUUGUUAUAUAUUGUUUAUGCUAUGCCUAUAUGUAGAUGAAAGAGCAGUUGAUUAGAGACAAACUUGUACACUGGCACUAUACUUAACUGCAAAGGAUGAAAUAGAUGUUAUGGAAGGGAGAAUUAGGUUGAAGGUGUAGUAGUGACUAAAAUAAGAACAGAUGAUUUCAUGGCUAGAGGAGUUCAUCUUAGAAAACUUGGAGAUGAUUCUAGUUUGGUGAGAAUUUAUUAUUGUUAUUUUUUUUCUUAAAGUAAAUAUUCAUGAUAAUAGUAGAAAAUAUAAUAGUGUACUUGGCUAUUAAAACUGAUCAACAUCCAAUUGUUUCAUCCAUUAAAAUCUCUUUUUGUCCUGUAACAGUUUCGUUAUUGAAGAUAAACUCUUUGCAUCUUGUAUUUAUUUUCUUUGGAUCUUGUAUUAUUUUCUUUUCCUAUUACUUGUUGUGAAAGUUAAAUUUCUCAGGAUUGUGUUUAAUGUCAAUUUUGGUUUCAAAUCUGAAUUUUCUCAAGACAUUGAGGUGUUUGAGAGUAGGGUGUAAAAGUUUGUCUCUAGGAGAAAUCAAAUGAACUUUGUUGAAGAGUUGCAUGUAGCUUCCAACAGCUAACUCAUUUCAAUGAUAUUUUAGUUUUUAUCCUGGAUCUAAAGUUUUUUUAGGUUCGGCCAACUUCAGACUUGAGCUGUAAUGAAUCCUUUCCUUCUGAUUUUCUAUGGAAGCUGCUUUAUUUGCUUUCAACAGUCUAUCAUUUUGUUUCAAAAAGUUAUUUGGACAUCACACCUCUUGGAAUCUCUUUUUCCUAUCAAAAUGAUGGUUGGAAACAAAUUUCCUAAGCAAUUUGAUUUAUUUGUUGUGUGUGGCAGAAUAAGAUUCUGAGAAUUGGAUAAUUAUUUUUUGAUUUAUGCAUGGAGUCUGGUAUAAAAUUAUCCUGCUUUUGUAGUAUCAUUGAAAUAUCCACAUCUUAUUGUCUCAAUUGUGAGAUUGUUAUUCAUUCUAUGGUAUUUCCAUAGAUUGUAAAUGCAUGGCUUGUAUGGUGUUUUAGACACACUAUGUCAGCACACACAGGACUUAUACAGUUUCAUAUGAUUGUGAGUAUCUCUAUUAAAUACAGUUCUAUCAUGUUCAUAAAACUAUUAUGACAAGAUUUUUUAAGAUGGUGAGUGAAAAGCUUGUCUUGAUUCUUGAGCUAGGGAUUUGGUGAGGAACUUGAGAUGAAAAUUAAAAUGUUAAGAGACUGAAUCACCUAAAACCUUAACUAAACUAGUUGGGUGUAACUAUAUGCUAUCUUUUCACUCUAUUAUUCUAGGUAUAGGCAUUGUCUAGAGAGGUCCACUGCUGCUAAAACAUCAUCACCACUUCAUGUCAUCAUAGGUCUAAAACCUCUUCUUCUUUGCUUAUAUAACUUGGAUGUGCUUAAACCAGUAUUCCAUUUAUAAUUGGUCUUUCUAAUCAUUUAGAAUGACCAGGUUAGGAUAGCUUGGAGGAACAGUGGCCCCUUGAUUGACUUAGGUGGGUCCACCUUAAGUGCUUUUGUACCAAAUUACUUUAUGUAGUUAAAGUAAGUAAUAAAUAUGUGAUGUCAAUUUUACUAGAACCCAGAUCUUCUGCUUCAAAUUGUUGGGGACAUUGGGCACAUUUUUCCUGCUAAUAUUAAGGAAUCAGAUCAAUAUCUAAUUUACUGUGAUGUGUUAUUGUACAAUGCGAUGCCAACAAAGGCUUUCAAUAGUGAAAAGCUUUUAAAGGAAAAAUACUUAAUAUAUAUAAUCACGGAUCGAUUUUGAAGCUGAUAAGUUUAUAAUGACUUCUUACUUUGCUCGAUCAAACAUGUAUGCUGCAUUGCCUUUGAUAUGUAGAGAGGCACCUUAGAGAAACUAGCUAGUGCAAUGAGUUUAUUUGCAUAUCUUGGUAACUAUUUGUUGUUAAAUAUCUGACAUCUUGAUGGCAUUUUUUUCCUACUCCACAAGUGCAGUCCUAAUUCCAAGUCCUUUCUGGAAAUUAAGCGGGACCCCUUAAUAGUUAUUAUUUCUAAGUAGGAAACUUAAAAGAGCAAACUUAAUGUUGGUUUAGCAUUUCCUAUUCUUUCUAUUUUGUUAGAAUUCCCAAGUGGUAAAGUUUUGAGGAGUCUUUAUACUUCUAAUCUCAGGCAUUUUUGCCUUGGUUUAAUAAAAUUGUUUUCGGUCACAAUUUGGAUUCUAUCACAUGCAUGGACAGAAAUAGCAGAGUAAUAUGUAAACAGAAUUAAGAGUUGCUUGAAAGUCCAGGAAUGCGGAAGGGGAAGGUGAAGUAAUCUAAAUCUAAAUCAACAAAAUUUUUGCCACAAGUGUAAAUUGCCUAUGUGGAAUAUUUUGAAGGUUACAAGUAUCUUAUUUUUAUUGGAUAUAGGUGGAAUAGUGGGAUUUUAAUUUCAAAUAAACCUGUUUUUAGUAGCAUAUCUUAGGUAGAAAGUUACUUCAGAAAGCUGUCUUCCUGAUAUGUUGACACAUAAAAUAUCAUAUCAUUUGACAUUUUGCUUGCUAAGCUUUGACAUUUAGUUCGAACUGUGAUAUAGUUGGUGGUUGAUAGAGGUAUGCAAUCUUUCAACCAAAUUACCUACUUCAAUGAGUUACGAUAAGAUUGGUUCUGUUCAAUUCCCCACUUUUAUGACUGGGAUAAACAGGAUAAUCAAAUUACAUUUGGUAAUUGAUUUUUACUUUUCUAAUAUAUUUAGUAUUUUGAUUUUAUAAGUAUAUGUAUUUUGAGAUCUAUAUUUGUGCAAAAAUGAAGUCCAAUUAAAAAAAAAAAUCAUAUUCUGCCAGAAAGUAGAAAUCUGACAAAAAAAACAUGGAGAGCUGAAUAAAGCAAUCCAAAUAUAUUAUUUGCGACUGGUGAUGUAAAUGGUAUUAGAUACUUUGGCCCAAAUAAACAAAUUCACUAAUCAUUAAAACAUAUAUUUAUACAAUAAUUACAAUAAAAUAAAUUAAAAUUAAACUAACAGAAUUAAUAACCGAACUGCAGUGGUGAACUAAUUGAAUCUGGUUCUUUUGUCACUUGCCUUGGUAAUUUUGUCUUUUGCGGUCUUUUGAUUCUUUCAGUACUUGAUUAAUGCAGCAAUGUCCCCAAUUUCACGUACUUUAGUUCUUUUCUCAUAACAAAAUUUGAAAAGGGAACGAUGUUCAAUGAUCAUUCAGAGAUGGCAUUUUACCCUAUCAACAGUUGUAUGUAUGAUUAUUUAAUAAUUUCCUUGGAACUGUGCAGAUCUCCAUAAUCGGGAUCAUGUUCUUAUGAGAAGUGUUUUGGUGAUCAACUUGGAAGUAAAAGAUAAUCAUGAGGAGGCAGCUAUCGGAGCUCGACUUGCUUUAGAAUUGUGCCAAGAGGUGGGACUAAUAGCUUCAAACUAUUAAACUUUCUGCUAGAUGUUUACUAUUUGAUGGAUUCUGGAUACUUAUUUUCUGUGCAUAGAUUGAAGCAGCCGAAUCAUGGGAGGAUUCGAUUGAUGAGAUCAUUACUGCCUUCGAGACAAAGCAUAGGCGGAAGCUUUUAUAUAGUGUCUCCUUCUAUUGAAGAUGUCUUACUCAUGCUAACGAACUGACUAAAUUCCAUGUCAAUCAUGUCUAUAUAAUGUAUUACGAUUAACCACCUUUGAUAUGUACAAUUGUACCUCUUUUUUUUCUCUACGAUGUAACUCAAAGAAUUUUACUUCAUCCUUUUUAGUGGACUACAGACGUNNNUCUACUUAAUCAAUCAAUGUAUUUGAUUAUUUUAUUACCAUGUUUGGUUAUAAUAUAAAAAUAUAUAAUAUAAGAAUAUAUGAUACGGAACCUCUAAAAAUAAAUUUGAUUAUCCCUUUGAUUAUUACGGAUCCCCACAAUAUUAACUUGAAAACUCCAAGAACAAUUCGAUAUUAAUCCCUAAAACGGCUAGAAUUCAGAUUACUUAUAAAUAUAAUCAAAGAUUUAAAAUAAAGAAAACUUGUUUCUAAGUUCUAGAUUCGAAAUACACUACAAAAAGGUGAUCAGUCUACUUAAAUGUUCCUUUAGCAUGUAUUCUAUUCAAGAACACAUAUAAAAGAAAAUAGCCUUUUGGUUGUGAUUUAUCAAUAAUCUGAAGUGAAAUUCAUUUUAGGCCUUUAUAUAGCUUUUACAAAACCUAAAAACUCAUACUUUAAAAUAAACAAACUCAAUUUAUGGGCUUUAACAUAAACAAGUUUGGGCAGCCCAUUAUCAAAACAAUAAAACUAAUAUGCUUCUAAAUUGAUAUAUUUUAAACAGCCCAUUAUGACAAAAAUAUAAACAUUUAAUUCCACUCAAUUAACAAUGCUAAAAAACUAAAAAUAAACUUAAGUAAGUCCAUUUUGAAGUUAAACUUGAAUUAAGUUGUAAAUAACUUUAUUUGAUCUUGUCUCCAAGCCUUGGAUUCCUUGUAGCCUAUUACAAGCCAAAUUCACCAAAUCUUAUAGAUGACUAAUUAACGCUUGUUGAAUCUUCUUGGCUCGUGAUCUUGUUAUAGGUCCUUGAGGCAGAAUAAUUGGAUUGACAAUCUCCUCAGUUUUAUCCUUGCUUCUUUGGUCAUGGUCAUCCUCUUGGUGUGUAGGCUGUUCUAUAGCAUUUUUCCUCUCCUCAAAUAAAAAACAUCACCUACACCAAAUCAACUCAAAUCAGCCACAUUAAAUGAAGCACUUACAUUAUACUCACCUGGCAAAUCCACUUUAUAUGCGUUGUUGUUAAUCCUUUUAAGUAUUUGAAAAGGACCAUCUCCUCUUGGAUUCAACUUGAACUUCCUUUAGUGUGGAAACCUUUCUUUGCGAAAAUGUACACAAACCCAAUCGCCAGGUUGAAAAAUCAUUAGCCUCCUUCCUUUAUUCAUACGUGAAGCUACUUUAGCAUUUUACUUUUCAAUCAUUUCCUUAACUUGCUUAUGUAACUCCUUCAUCAAAUCUGCCUUUGAAUUAGCAUCAACACUCAUAAAAUUGUUAGGCGUCAAUGGUAAUAAAUCAAUAGGAGUAGGUGGAUUAAAACCAUAAAUAAUUUCAAAUGGAGAGCAAUUAGUAGUGCUAUGAACUGCUCUAUUGUAAGCACACUCCACAAAAGGUAAACAAUCCACCUAAUAUUUUUUUCUAUAAUUGCCCUAAACAAAGUAAUCAAAUUCUGAUUAACUACUUCAGUUUUGCUAUCAGUUUGAGGAUGGCAAGUAGUUAAGAACAACAACUUAGUUCCUAACUUUUUCCAUAACAUACGCCAAAAAUGACUCAAAAAUUUAACAUCUUUAUUUAUAAUAGUUGAUGUAGAAAUAAAAUAUUAAAAUAAAUUAUUUAAAAUAAUAUUAAAAUUAUUAACUUUUAAACUAUCAUUGGUCGUUGGAAUCCAGUCAUUGAUUGUUGUAAUUCGGUCAGCGGUCGCCAGAAUCUAGUUAUUGAUCGUCGGAAUUUGGUCAUCGAUCACCAGAUGAUGGUGGUUGGUGAUGUUUGAAGAUGUUUAAAUUAUAUUGAUAAAAAAAUAAAAAAAUAGAAUAAAUAUAAAUAUAUUGUAAGUAAUUAUGAUUACAUACACUUUUUUGUGUAUUAAGUAUUACAUCAAAUUAAAAAUGAAUGAUUAUGUAAUGUAUUUAUUAUUAAAUUAUAUAAAAAGAAUAUUAAUAAAAUAAUGAAGCAUGCAAUGUAAUCGUGAUUUCAUUACAUAUUGUAUUACAUCCUAUCAAAUUUAGUCAUAAGAUUUAGGGAGGUAAUAAGGCAGGUCCGAGCAAAAUCUUAUCAAAUUUAGUUAAAAUUGAACUAAAAAAAGCUACUCAACUAAAUUGAUUGGCUUAGUUUCGUUUUCUUUAUUUCUUUUAUAGAAACUUUGUUAGACAAUAGGUUUUUAGUUUUUUGUUCAAAAGUUGAUAGUUAACCUGCAAUCUUCAACAUCAAAUCGGCAAAUUAUAUCUUGAACCCGAGUACAUUGUGUAUUAUGUACCCGACGUCCAAAACAUCAGCUUUUAAAUUAAAUGAAAAAGUUGAAAUUUAAAUGGCACGUGCGAGGGCUUCAGUUUCAAUAUAAUGCCAUGUUUCAUGAUUGCAAUUUAAAAUAGAAUCGAGAAGUGAAAUCAGUUGUUUGGUAUUUAGAUUCCCUAUUUUUUAAAUCUUCAAAUCAGAUUUUAUAAACUUUAAUUCUUCUUUUUUUUUCUUCCUAUUUAUUCUUUUUUUUUUCUUAUUUGGUGCAUAAUCUUUCCUUUUAUUUUCAUUAUCUGUGAAAAAAUUCAUUUAUAGAAAAAUCUAUGAAUAAGUGCAGAUUUUGAAAAUAUAUUUGACAAGCUUAAAUUAUUCAUUUUUUCUUUUUCUGUUCUUAUUUUCAUUUUAGGUUUAUUAUUUUAUAAAGAAAUUGAUUGAUGGAGCAGUGAAUGGAUGUGAAUUUAAAAAUACGAAUGAACAAAUUAAAUCUGCAGUUGAAUAUACAACGUAAAUCUAGAUUUAUUAGCCAAUACAGGUAAUUAACAUUAAAGUUUAUUAUGUAUCAACUAUAGGUUCAUCAACAUAUUCACAAUUUUGAUAGCAGUUUUAUUAUUGAAAUAGAAUAGGUUCAUUAUAUAGCAUAUUGACAUUCAUUAUAUAUGAACUAGAGGUUCAUCAUUUAUUGUUUUAUUUUUUAAAUGGAAUAAGUUCAUUCUAUAGUACAUUGAAAUUCAUCAUUUUAUUCUUAAUUUUUAAUAGUUUCAUUUUUAAAAUAAGAUAUGUUCAUUAUAUAUAUAAUGGAGGUCCAUUAUGUGUGAAUUACAGGUUCAUCACUAUAUUCAUCAUAUUUCUAUUUCUACAGCUGAUAAUUAAAAUAAUACUUUGAAGGAUUUACUUGGACUGUCUGUCAAAUUUGUUGGUGAAGCAUAUAGUUUAUAUAGUGAGUAUGUAUUCAAAAUGGGAUUUAGUAUUAGAAAGAGUAAGUAAAGAUAUAGAGCAUAUGGCAAAAGACUAUCAAUGAAAAAAAAUUAUAUUAUUAGAUUCAUCGGUUUCACUUAAAUCAAUAAAAAAGAUUUUUGUUUUCUUCCUCACAUUACUUAAAGGAACAUCCCAAUCUAUACUGUUAUUAUUAAAUUCAUCAGUUUUAGGCUUUUUUCUGCCUUUGUGAAUUCUUCAUAUUGAACAUUUUUCUUUAUAAUGUAUUUUCUACCUAUUUUCUCCUGUAAAAUAAUAAUUAUAAGAAAUAAGAACUAAUAAUGCAAGAAUACAAUCCAUUAAAUGGAUUUUAUUAAUAAUGAACCUUAUAUCAUUAACAAAUGAAUAUACAAGUUUUAAGUAAUGAACAUGCUAUAUGUGAAUAAAAUUUGUAUUAAUAGGUUAUAAUCGACAUGUUCAUUAUCUACAAAUGAUAGGUUUAUCACAAUAUCAAUUGAGGUUCAUCAUCUACUAGCAACAGAUUCAUGAAAGUAUCAUUUAAGGUUCAUCAGGUUCAUGCUUAUAAAAUAGAUUCGUAUAAAAAAUUAUACAUACUAAUUUAAUAUAUAAUAAAAAACUAUAAAAAAAUUAAAAAUUGACAUUCUUAAAUUUAAUAAAAAAUUGCAUACAUUUAUUUUAUAUAAAUUAUACAUACAUCAUAUUCUUUUAAAGCAUAUUCUUUAUAUAUAAGAAGAUAAUAUAUUCACGAAUAGCAUAAAUAAUAUUUUUUUAAUUAUAGGCUAUAGUUUCAUAAAUUUCAAAAUUUAAAUUCUUUGAUAUUUUUAUCACUAAUUUUGCAUGUAAUAUAAUUAUUUUAUUGGAUUUAAAUGUCAUUCUCAAAUGAAAAUGGAUAUAUUUGUAGAAUAAUGAGAUUUGUAAAAGUUUGAAGGUUAAAAGAUUAUAAUGGAAAGUAAGAAAUAAUGUAAAUAUUUAAAUUUUAAAAGAAGAGAAGUGUAUAUUGUAAACUAUCAUAAGUCUGCAAUCUCUUUUGGCAAACGGGUUCAUUUGGCAAUACAAUAUUCUAUUUGUAAUAUGUUGGGAAUUUAGGUUGUGCCUCAUCAUUGUCGGUAUUUAGGCCUUCCUUCAGUUGUUGGUAACCAGAGAAUUCAUGCUUUUUGCUUUCUGAAGGACUCUGUUUGGCUAAGCCUUGAUAGUUGGGGGUGAUCAACUACUUUAGGAAAAGAGGUACUAUUAAAGGCGGUAAUACACCCCCCACUUACACUAUGUCAGUUUUCCUUUUGCCCAUCAUGUUGUGUGAAGAGAUUAAAGAUUAAUGAAUGGUUUUUGGUGGAAUCAUAUUAAUAGGCAAAGUGGAUGCACUCGUUGGCUUUCAUGGUCCAAACUUUGUGUUCUGAAAAAUUGGAAACUUUUUAGAAACAUUCUAAAAUUAAAUACUGCUUUUUUUAACUUUUUAAAAAAAAAAAAAAUAGUGUGGUUAUUCUUUUAUAAGAAAAAUUAAAAAUUCGUAUUUUUAAUAUUUUCACAAAGUAACAUUGAAAAAACAAAAAUUUAUACCAUAUCUUUAUAAAAAAUCAAAACGCAUGAAUAUUUUUGUAACUUUUUCAAAAAAAUUUACGAUAUGGGCUUUUGUUCACUUCAUGAUUUCAACCUUACAAUGCUUUCUAAACAAGUUUGGCGCCUCCUAAGACAACCAGAGUCAUCAGCUUCCAAAAUCCUGAAAGCUAAAUACUUCCCUACUACCUCAUUUAUGUCAGUCAAUUUGGGAAAGAGGCCAAGCUAGUAUGGAAAAGCAUUUGGAUCUCAAGAUCAGUUUUAGAACGGGGUUGUGCGUGGCGUGUGGAUACUGGUCAUACAAUUAAUGUUUGGGCUGAUGCAUGGCUUCUAGGUUCUGAAUUUUUUGGCAUGUUCCAGCUCCUGUCUCACCUCCAAAUAUGGUUUUUGCAAUAAAGUGGACUCGCCCUUCUUCCGGACUCGCCCUUGCAAUAAAUUUCUGCUUCCGCUAUUGAUAUCAGAUAAGAGGGUGUAUGACAUGUUUCUAGAACAAAAAAAAUAAACAAAAUUGAUACAAAAAUAUGCAGCAAAAUAAAUCAAAUUAUAUAUACAUAAUACCUAUAUAUCACAUAAUAAAAUCAUUAAAAUUUCAGAAUAUGCAACAUUUUUAGUACAAUAAAAAAAAAAACAUUUCCAUAAUGUUCGUUACUGUUAUUUAUUAAUACACAUAUAUUUUUGUGAAAAGUAACUCUUGAUAAUGCAACGUAUAACUGCCUAUGACAGAAAACAUGAUCGUGUAUAUAAAACAAUUUUUUAUUGGAAACUAUCUUCUUUUUAAUAUAAAUGAGAAAUUUCAGUAUAAGAAAGAACAAUUAGAGGUAUAAAAAUUCUUUUGCCACAAUGCGAGUCAAUUAUUAUAAUAGCUUCAAUGAUUUUAACUCCUUAAUUAGUUAUUAUUAAUCUUGUUCCAUUACAUAAUCCUAUGCUAGGGUUAAUAUUACUCAGUAACAUAAUAGGAGUAUUUUUAAUUUUAAUUUCGUGUUGUAGAAAACAGUUAAAGUUUAAACUGUUUAAAAAUUCAAUGGGAUAAAGUACUUCUAAUUCAUCAAUGCCACUUGAUGUUUACAUAUUGAAUAUGAACUAUAAUAUAUUUUUCCUUUUUCAAGUAUUAAAUUAAUUAUUUCUUCAUUAAUAGUAUUAACAAUCUCAUUAGUAGGUGUUAUUAUGGACCUAUCUUUAAUAUACAAAUUAUUAGCUAAAUUAUUUAGUAAAUUAAUUAUUUCUUCGAUAAUUUAUUUUACAGGAUCGAUAUAAUUUGUUAUUAAUAAGUUUUAAGGAAUUAUUACCCAAUUACUUUCAAUAUCAUCUCUAUAAAUUUUUUCUAUACGUGUUGUGCCAUUUCCAAUUGAUAAAGUCCACUUUGCAAAAUUAUUAAGUUCAUUGUUGUGGUUGGUAUCUUUAGAUAUAGAAAUAAGCUACAUAUUAAUAGUUAAUUUAUAUAUUUUAAAAAACUCUCAUAAAUAAGAUUUUGUUAUUGACGCAUUUAUAAUUUUUAUUUUACUACUCUUAACAACAACCAGUAGGAUCUAUCUAAAAUCACCGUCCAAUAAAAUAGAUUUACCACCAAAUAGAUUAUCAAUUUUUUCCUCUUUUGUUUUAUAUAAAAUAUCUUUUAGCGAUCUAUAUCUAAUGCUUCAAAAAAGUAUUUAUGACUCAUAGGAGCCUCAUCCCAAAUGAUUAAACUUGUAUGUUCUAUUAAUUUUGCUAAUUGAGUUUCUUUCUUAAUUUCACAUGUAAAAAGUUCAUUUAUAUUUAUCGGUAUUUUAAAUCUAGAAUGAGCUGUUUUACCUCCUGAUAAUAACAAAGCAGAAAAUUCUAGACGAAGCUACAAACUAACACAAUUUUACAUUUUGAUCUAAGUUUUGCUAUAACAACUUCAUAUAAAUAUAUUUUGCCAACUCAUCCAUAUCCAUAAAUAAAAAAUAAACGACCUUAUCAUGCUUGAUGACGGAAAUAAUAUCAUCAUAUAUUUUACAUUGUUAGAUAUUCAAAGAUGUAACCAAAUUGUCGUGUUUCAUUUUUAGCUCAUUUAUAUUAUAAUUUAAUUCUUGAAUAAUUAAUUGAUUUUCAGUAUCACUAAUAAACAAUCUAUUAGGUAAAGGUAAAUCAUGAUCAGCUAGAGAAGUUGAGCUUUUAUUGAAAAAAAAUUUCAGUUCUUGUAGUACUAUGUUCUUUAAGUAAUUGUCUGAAAUAGAUGUAAGGGGAAUUUCUAAAUUAUGUUGUAAUUCAUAUUUAAUAUCAUCAGCAAAAUUCUUCCAAAAUAGAUUGAAUAAUUUAUUCAGAUCAUCAACUUCACAAAAUAAUAUAAGAAUAGUAAAUAAAUGAUGAAGUUUAAGAAGAUGUAACUGAUAAAAUACUUUCUUCCAUUGCGCUUACCCACUCAGUAUCAUUUCCUAUUAAACCAUAUGCAUUGCACACAGACUGAAAUAUAGGAUGAAGUACUCAAUUCAUAGUUUUAAUAUCUUCAGAAUUUGUAGGGUCCUUGAUAAUAUUUAAAAGCAUUCUAAGAUAAUAAAGUUCCUAGAAUUUGAAUGGACAUAAGCAAUUUUACCUAUAGAGUGACCUUUUUUCUUCGAAUCUAUAUUUUUUUCUUUUCGUUGUCAUACCUACUGAGUAGGGAAUUCAACAUAUAUAAGAGUUCUAGCAUCAUCAUAAAUACAAUGUAUUCAUCCACUCAGUAAACAUAGUACGACUGAAUUCAUCAUCAUUUGCAAUGUAACUUAGAUUGUCAGACGGUUUAAAUAUAAUUUUAUUCAUAUUUUGUAAAUGUAUUGUCAAUUUCUCAAUAGUUGGUUCUCUAUGCUGUAUUGAAAAUUCAAAUAAUCGCUAAACUGCUCACACGAAGAAAUAUAACGACAAUCCAGAUGUAUUUUUAUUUCAUCAAUAAUAUGUUCAUCAUUAUUUUCAAAUGUAUUGAUAUUUUUUCUAUAAUUUGUGAUAACUGCCUGAAUUCUAUCAUUGCCUUUGUUAAUAUAUUUGAAUAAAUACUUAACCACUGUAGACUUAAAAUAGUACUUAAUAUUAAUAUGAGCUUCACAUUUACAUGUUAAAUCUUUAUUAUAUGGAACAACAAAACAAUUAUCAAUUCUUCCACUAUUUUUUAUAAUAAAAUUUUCAUUGUUUCGCCAUUUGUAUAUAGCUAAACCAUUAUUAUCAAUAAUUAUUUCUUCCUGAUAGUAUUUAGGAUAUACUUUCACUAUUUUUUUAUAAUAAAUUUCCAUUGUUCCGCCAUUUUAUAUAGCUAAACCAUUAUUAUCAAUAAUUAUUUCUUUUAGUGUUUAGAAUAAAAUUUACUGCACUUAUUAUUUUUCAUGCAUGGUGAGGACGGAUUAAUAGCACCACAUGGAUCGUGUAUCAUAAAUUUUGAAACAAUUUGAUAUGCAUCAUAUUCUAAUUCCUUAAACGGUAGCUUGACAGAAAUCAAUAAAUCAAUAUUGGAAGGUUUUACCGAUUUACUAUUUUUAUGCAACCAUACUAAAAAAUGAAUAUAAGAAAUUCCUUUUUUUUUUUGAAAUUCUACAAUAUAUAAUAAACCAAGAACUCUACUAAUUUCAUCCAUCAUCUGAUUAAUUUUUACUUUAUAAACACAAAAGAUGAUAUCGGGUCUAUUGUUAGGCUUUUGACCUCGAAUAUAAUCUAACAUCCGUUGAAUUUCAGGCUAUAAGAGAUUGCAAGUAAAAGUUAUAAAUAAAUUUGGAUGACCGUAGAAUUUAUAUAUAACCAUUGUAUCAUGGUAAUGUUUAAUCAUAUAUCUCGGACUUCCAAUAUAAGUAGAAGGAAAAUUAUAACAAAUGCUCCAAUAUCAUUAGGGUUAUUACAGCCAUGCCACACAACAUUUUUAAUUCCUAUAUAUAAUUUAGAUCUUAAUUAUUUUUUAUUUUUUCUAAUAAAAUCCAAUCUUUCUUCCUCAAAACACGAAAAAGCAUCAACUAUAAAUUGCUGAAAUAAACGACCGUCUUUUAAUAAUAAUGUCCCUUCAUUAAAUCAUUGUUGGAUUAGGUAUACAUAAUAUUCUCGCAUAGUUACGUAUCUUCGACCAUUUUUAGAGUUUGUAUUUAUGGAAGUAUAUUCAAUAUCACUUAUAUAAUCAUCUUCACUAUAACGAAAUAAUAUAGGGUACUGCAUUGAUAUUAAACUUAGGUGUAAAACACUAAUUCAUUUUAAAGUUCUAGUUUUAUAUUCGAAAAUGAUAUCACGUUCUUUUUUAAAUACACGACAAUCACCUACUAUUAGACUGACUAUCUCAAAAGACGAUGGCAAAUUAGAUUGUGCACCAUCACGGGAUCUUCUUCCAAUUAAUCUUAAUCUGACAUUCAGAAAAUCAUUUUCUUUAAAUCUGUUGUGAAUCAUUUGACAUUCAGAGAAUUAUUUUCUUUAAAUCUGUUGUGAGUCAUUCUAAAUGAUUUUACAAUUUCAUUGUGAUCAUUGAACAUUUCAAUAAGACUUUUUAUAUUGUUUCAUUCACAGAUUUAUAGGAGUCAGUGUUUAAAAAUGACGAAAUUAUAUUUUAUACCUUAUUUUUUGUAUUAUAAAUAUACGAUUGAGCAAAUUUUGGUUUUUCACCGUUAAGAGGCAACAAAGAACCAAAAAGAUGAUGAUUCUGUCCACAAAUUUUGAACACAUAAGGACUAGAAGUUUUUUUUUUAUUUCGUAAUCUAUUUUUUCACCCAUUAAAGUGAAAGAAAAUAUAGAAUUAUAGAGUCUUAUAUUCUCUCUAAAUUGUGCUAAAACUGGACCAUUAUUCUAAAACAAUAAAUUAUCAAGGAAAUCAAGAGUUUUAUGAAGUAAAGGUAAUUUAAUUUUUUCUUUUCUGUAGCAAAUUGUAUAAUUUUUUGCGGCAUCGUUAGUUAAUUCACCAGCAUGCUCGGCAAGCCAGUACAAUGCACCACAAUAUUGACAUUGGUUGUACGGAAAAUCUAAGUCUGAUUUCUGGAUGUACGACCCUAUUAAAUAAGCUAAAUUUAAGACUAAAAGUAUGUAGUAAAAGAAUUAGGGAGAUAACUAUAUAUUAACUUCAUACUUAUGUUACUGGUGGAACUUUGCACAUCCGUCAGAGAAACAUAGGAUGGUUGCGUAAUUUGACUCCUUUUACAUCUUAUUACUUCUGCUUAUAGGAAGAUAUUGUAAUUUGUAAUGUUAAAUCUUUUAAAGGUAUAAGCAAAUUGUGUUUCAGACUACUAUUUUAUUAAGUUAAAAAAUAAACUAUAAACUGCCAACUUGUAAAUUUUAAAUCUUCAGUAACUGAUAUCUCAACUAAAUCUAGGUCUACCUCGAAAGGCAAAUGAAAUGAAGUAUCAUUAUAGAAAUAGUCAAAUGUGUGUCUGGAAGCAUGAAUUGAAGGGGUUUCUAUAAACAAUUGAAUAUUCAUGUUAGAUAGUGGUAUUCUUUAAAUUAUGUUCUUAAAGUAUUUUAAUAGUAAUUGAGUGCGUAACAUCUAAUUCUAUCAAAAUACUAAUUAGAUUACUUAAGGUCUUUAAAUCAGUUUCAGUAGGCUCCAUGCUAUAAUUAGAAAGGUUCAAAAUUUUUAGAUAAUCGAAUAUGCUCAAGACUAUAAACAUAAACAUGGAAACAAACAAUUGCAUAUUGAUACAUAUUAAAGUAUCGAUACUGUAAUUUAAAUAUGUAUGCAUGAUGAUUGUUAAUGAUAACAAUUCUGGAUUUCCAAUAUGUACGUCUUCAAUUAGUAGCGUCUACAAAUUUUACAUAAAACAAAAUUCCAAUAAAUAAAUAACCGUAUGAAAGUUAGAGUAAAACAACUAAUUAGAAUGUGAUAAGUGCUAAAGGCACUUACGUUUUGAGCUUUAUUUUACAUUAAUUUUAUUUUUAAUUGAAUCUAAUUUGUUUGUUCAAGCUUGAUUUUCAGUUCUUUUAGGCACUUUAAGGAUGAUACAUGUCAAGGAGUCAAAUG